CUUUUUUUUUUUUUUUUUUUUUUGUCAACAUAAGGAGUAUCUCAACUUUUGCCAGACUAAUUUUCCUGCGCCCGUGCAUCUCGCCCCCAUGAAUACACGAGACGGUAGGAGAACCAGAAUCAACCACACGACCUGGGCCUAAUGCGGCUAUCCCAUAGCCAGCCGAUCUGCGCCGAGGGGCAAUAAACCCGCAUCACGUGCUUUGUAUGAUUGUUGCUCAUUCUAUACUAGUAUAAUUUGUUUGAACCAGGACUCAUCAGCUUAAUUGAUGGUAGGGGGAUUAUGUAUGACAAAAGUUUGGGUCUGUGCCAAAUUGGAUACGUUGUUUGCGACCCCACAGAACCAUAUUUUGAUCAAUCACUUAAAGUCUGCAAGAACCAGCGUCAGAUGGAGGCAUCCAGUUUUGCUGUUCAUGCAAGCUUUUGCUUCUGGUAAAAACAUUGAAAGGAGAAUGUGACGAGUCAUGCUUUUUUAUGGACUAGCGAGGCAAAUUCCUUAAUUACAGCUUCUGCAACGGAGUGAUGAUACCAAUUUAGCAGCAAAUUAAGUGCCGGCUUUUGCAAUUUCAAGCAAUUAUUGUCUCAAGAAUUGGUCCCCCGGGGGCCAGCAGGUCGCAACAGCAGGCUACGAGUCACUAGUACUAUCUACAUGCCUAUAUGGUUCGUAGAUGCAUGCAUGGUGAUUGGUGCAACCAACCUUAGCUGGUGGGUUCUGUCUUGAAUACUGAAUAGUACCAAGGUUGUCGCUUCGCAAUCGACGCUUCCCCAAUUCACCUCAUCCAUCCAUCCGUUUCUCUCCAGUCUCUAUACGCAUAACGCCGAUACACAUUUAUAAAUAUAAGUUGACAUAUAUUGCCUGUUACGUACAGCUUCAGUGCAUAUCCUUUUCUUUUAUUGUGCAGUACGUCCAUCGAGUACAGUACCGAUAGUUCAUUAUUGUGCAGUACUAAAGAGUACCGAUAGUUAAGUUUGUUCAUUAUUAUCUUUUUUGGAUAAAAAAACAAAAGUUUCUGAAAUUUCCAUUCUGUUCACGAGGACUAAAAUCGCUUAUAGAAGUACUUAUAGGUAGGUUAUUUGCUAAUACAAUUUUCACGUGGAGAUUUGAACUGAACAUGCACUUUUUUUUUUUUUUGGGUAAAGAGUCGACCGAUUCAGUCAACAUGUAAUAGCCAACACUAGUGAUUCGUUCUGUUCAAUACUACUGGUAUCCAGGUGAAGUGCAGUGCUAGAAUCGAAACAAGCUGAUGAUCUCAGCGACUCUGCUGGCUCCUGCAGGCGGGCGGUGAGCAGAUGUUGCAAGACUUUACUAGCUGUCUGCAAUCCAAGUGUAAAUGCCCAUCCCCCCCGAGUCUUGUCUAAAUCAAGCAUUGAAGGGAGGGAGGAUUGCAACUAGGCCAGGCUCCAUCCUGACUUUUGUUUGCCCGAUUGAUUGCCAGGCACUCUCUCGUUUUUUUUUUUUUUGUUUGUGUUGUCCAUUCGCGCGCGGCUCCAAAAAUUAACAGCUGCAUCUGGUAGAACUGCAUAGAUGUGAACUACAGUUGGACAGAAUGAAUCCACGUCUAUCAAUUAGGUAGGCGCAUAACCAGUUUUUCGGCCACACGAUCAUUCCAUUGUAACAUGUAGACAUUCGUUUAAGACCCACGAUGAUCAUCUUAUCUGUGUUCCUAUAAAACAGUUUAUAAUGCUGCGAUGAAGCAUGGUCGAAAUUACUUACUCGUUCAAUUAAGAAGAGAAAAGUUGAAUGCAAAGGUUGCCGGCAUGAAUUUUAUUUCGUCCUUGUUAAACUUGAACAUUAAUUAAACACCACUCAACUUCAUUUACUUAAGUUGGGAGUUACACUACUAUUACCCUUCUAUUCUUUUUGUUCAAGGCAGUUCCCGAUAAAUGAUUUUCUUGACAAAUCAAGUGUAUGAGAAACUGUCGCGUAUGUACCUGAGACCGAGUACAUGUUCUUUGAUGUUAGUAAUACCCAAACAAUCAAAAUGGUUGAUUUUUUACCUAUUUAGGUGAAGCUCAAAUUGACUUAUGCUUCCUUCUGAGCCAUGUUAAUUAAGAGGAUAAUUUCGCCACAGACUCGGAAUCUAGAUGUUUGUACAGCGAAUUUGUUUUUCCAAUUUUUUGAAAAGCGUUACAAAAAGUCAAGAUGGCCGAGUUGGUCUAAGGCGCCAGUUUCAGGUACUGGUCCGAAAGGGCAUGGGUUCGAAUCCCAUUCUUGACAUCUAAUUUUUUUCCCCUUCAGAAUUGGUCCUUUAAUUUAAGUAAUCAAGCCCAUAGCUUGGGCCAACGGCAACAAGCGGGCAGCUUCAAUACUUGAACUACCAUCAAUUGUCCAAAACUUUUCUCAACCCCCGUCACAAAGAUGACCUGCCCUUGUGGUGGAACGGAUGCUGCUGCUGAUUUCUAUUGGCCCAAAAAUAAUUGCUUCUCACAAAUAAAUAUUUGGAAAUGUUCAAUUAAUGCGGGAUAACAUCUGGAGAUUAGGGAUAAUAAAUUUGAAAGUAUGCACCUUAAAUCGAAAGUGUUUUAAUUGUAAAUAGAAUAGCCUCUCAAUAUUACCAAAACACCUUUUUUUUUUUUUUUUUGCUGCCAAAAACACCCCAUCCCCCUUCUUCCUACCUCCCUAUCAAAUUUAAUAUUUGUCUUAUAAUUAGUAUAUUAAAUUUUAUAAAAUAGUAUAUUAAGUUCUUUUAUAACAAUUUUUGUUCAAGAAAAUAAAAAUUAUAGAAUAUAAAAAAGUGCAUGUGCAAAUGCACAGGAAAGAAACUAGUUAAUAUGUAUAUAUAUAUAUAUAUAUAUAUAUAUAUAUAUAUAUUAAGUAUUGGUUUGAUUAUUUAUUGCUAUUACUAAAUUUGAAUAAAGUACGCUGCAUUAAUGUUCAUGUGGAUAGUUUUUUACUAAACCUUCCUCUUUAAAAGAUUCAUGUACUUGCAAGCAUGCAUGCAUGCAUACAUACAUGUACACUUAUGUACGUGAAAAUUAAACCUUCAUCUUUAAAAGAUUCAUGUACUUGCAAGCAUGCAUGCAUGCAUACAUACAUAUAUACUUAUGUACAUGAAAAUUAAAUUAGGGAAAAACUAUCCACAUGAACAUUAAUGUGGCGUGCUGUAUUUAAAUUUUAGUAAUAGCAAUAAAUAAUCAAACCAAUAUUAGGAAUAAAAGCAUGUGAUUGAAGAUGAUUAGAAAAGGAAACAUAUGAGUUGAUUGACAAAAAACAAAUAAUGUAGAAUUAAUACAGAUUUGUAUAAGGUAGGUCAUUAAUAAAUUUGUUGACAUUGAUUAUAAAUAAGGAACCAUGUUACGAAUGAAGUAAAAAAAGAUGAGAAUUAAUGGUUACAAAGAAUAGAAAACAAAAAAUAUAUAUAUAAACAUGAAAAGCCCUCCACGUGGCGAAAAGAUAGAUAGCCUAUUCAAUGACCUACCAAAACCAGAACUGAUCAUUGUGCAAAAAUUCUAGUAUUAUUUGAAAUAUUAUUUGAAAUAAUUAUUAUAUCACUUUUUAUGAUGUGAUGUAUGUGAGAUAAAAAGAUAAUUGAGAAUAUAAAAAGAUGGGUUAGGAAAUGUGUUUAUGAUGCAAGCGAAAUAUAAUUUCCCACAAGAUUUAAAAAAUUCCAAAUCCUUACCAAAAGAAAUUCUACCAAGAUUUAUGUGCAAAAAAUUUACAUAUUUGGGCAAAGAGUGUAGGCAGGGUGCGGGGGAAAAUGUCACGGUGGAUCCACCUCUUCUUAAAUGAGACAAGGCUAUUACGAUGGAAGAUGAAAGGUUGUACCAAGUGUGGAAACUGGAAAUGCUACCUACCUUCUAAGAUGAGCAUCGCAAUAUUAAUAUUUGGAGGUACAACUGUACCCCCCCCCCCCCCCAGUAAAACAAUGGCUGCCUACCUCACAUCACCUCCCUCCAUCACCAUGUCCUUUCUGCCCCUCUCUGUCAGCCCCAUUGGACCACUACAUACAUCAGAUGAUUGUGACUAACUAAGAAGAUAAAAUGAAAAAUCGUUUGAAAACGGAUAACUGAGAAAAGGGGUAGGGAAAUCAUCUGCUCUGCGGUAUAAAUAAAGCUAUCUCCCCUACAUAUAUAUACAACUAAGCGACUGAAAACACAAGCUGCUGUGUUCUGCAACCAAGAAAGAAAUUAAGAGACAGAAAAAGGCACUAGAAUUAAUCAAGUUAUCCGUCGUCGACGCAUUAAACUUGAAGGCAAGCAUUUCUACAACAUAUCUAUCUCCUUGAUUUAUUGAGCUUUGUUUGUUUGUUUGGAUGCUGGAAGGAUAAGGGCUUCAUGCAAGAACUAGCUGCAUUCAUUUAUGAUUUUGACAUUAUGUUUGAGAAAAUAUUCGAAACUUUUUUGAGUUUCAGCUCUAUCUAUCUGCCAUUUUUCGUUUCGUAGCAAGUAUCUGUUGCCAUCUUCCACCCACCGCACCCACCGCCGCUGUAUAUUUAUAAUCCAGAUCAAGCUGUUUUUCACGUUAAAACUUCUUUCUUUUUCAUGAAUAACUGAUCUUUUAUUUGCCAAUUUUUAUACCUUUUGAGUUGGCGCAUGACAUAUUCUUACAUUUAACAGCGAAUUUAUGUAACAUGAUGUUAUUUUUUUUAGGUAUUUAUUAGCGCAAUCCAUUUUAUUUCUCUUUGCCUUUUCAACCAUUUGGAUUAGUUUUAUACUUCUUUUUUACCCCACUCUUUUGAGGGGAAACAAAAUUACUCCUACUAUUUUUGUCGACUAUAUAUAUUGCAAUUAUUACACGAUAUAUUACCACAAUUAUAGGCAACAGAAUUGCAUUGACCGGAUCAUAAAAUUAUCCGUUUUUAAUCCGCAAUUAAUUUGCGUCGCUGUAGAACUGGCAAAUAUAGGAAGGAGGAUUGGAUGAUGAAGCGUGCCUUAGCUGCUUUCUUUUCCAUACUGGAUUUUUAGGCAAUCUUAACUGUGAUUCUGGUACGAAUUAACCUUAUCCAUAAAAAUGAAAUCAUCAUUCAUGGAAUCUAUUCUGUCGUGGCUACAAUUUGGUCGCAAGAUGGUAAGUCUGUCACAUGCAGGAAUAUCUUGAACAUUAUUGCCCAUAUCAAUUUUCCUCCUACUUUCCACGGCUCUCCAGUCCCGUCAAAUUCCAUAAGUACCCUAUAGAAUAAACCAACAAAGAUACAACAGUCUAAUUUAGCAGAAAGUCUUUUGGACAGGUUGAGAAGAAAGUUUUGAGGUACGUAAUGUUCAUGAGUAGUGGUAGUUUCGUACAACAACACGUACUUUCACAUGUGAGGGGGACGUGCGUCCUUCAUGCAUUUGUCCCUUUUUUUUUUUUUGGGAUGUUUUGUCCAUGUAGCUGGAUAAACGCAAGAUUCAUCUAGUCCCCGGCCGAUGUUUUUGGGAUUUUUUUUUUGGGAUGUUAUAUCUGCGAUUCAGCAGGUAGUCAAAAGUGCGGAAGAAGUUGAAUUCAUUCAUAAUUUGUGAGAAGAGAAUGAUACAGAGAAUCAGGACAAAAAGAUUGAAAGUUUUUAAGUUGUUGAAGUGUCCAUCUUCCUCCUCCUUCCCUGUAUUUUCUCGUCUAAUUCCAGCUUUAAGUUGUUAAGUAUUAUGUGCCCAUCUUCCUCCUCCUUCCCAAUAAUUUCUCAUCUAAUUACAGCGUUGCCCGAUUGGCUUCCGCAAUAUUUGGAAGGGGUUUUAUUUAAUCAGACUUCCCCAUCCCCCUUCCUUAAAUCCAACACGCCCGCCUCAUUCCUCUUUGUAUUCCCAACUCCCGUUCCCAAACUACUCCAUCGAAGAUCCCAACUCUUAUCUUAAAAAAAAAGAAAAGAAAAAAAGAGCAGCCAUAUUCUCUUCCUCCGCCUCCGCCUCCGCCUGGAAAGAUAAUAAAAAAACUACAUCGAGGGAGUGCAACAAGAAGGAGGACUUUGUCUGGCCCAUUUUUUUUUUGGUCCAAUUGAUGCGUAUCCUUCUGAUCAGAAGGAAGCUGUGCAUGGGCGCUUUCUUUGUAGUUGAUAACGAACCCUUCGGCUAAGAAAACUGCUCUAUUCAUAUUUUAUUUUUAAAAGGAAAAGCAAAAGGUAAUUAUUCUCGCGUUCUGAAAUUAUUUCUGAUUUUCUCGUGGCAAAUAUGAUUUUGUUUGGCGUUCAUCUUUCUUUUUUUGCCGGAUUUCCCUAAUUAGAAUCAAAGGAAAAUCCUUCCUUCCUGAAUCCUGAUGCUUUUGGACCACUGGAGGAGAAAAAAAAAAGUGGAGGGCUGGUUAGGUCCGAGUCGUUUGCAGUCACGUUCCACCGUCUCUUCUUUGUCCAACAUUUGCACCGUCAUCCGUCAACUGUGAUAUCAUGAGCCCAAUAUUGUCGCGUUCUUUUCUCUCUUUUCUCCUUCCGAGUCAAAUAUAUAAGUUGUUUGACAUUGAAAGGUAUUUUCGAGGUUGCACCUGAUCCAAUUAAAGAUUUCGUAACCUUCUGAAUUAAAAAUGGGGUUCAUUCGGGCAGUUUUUUCUUGAUGUUGUCUCAUGGGAAUCAUGGCUUGUGUUCAUUUAUUUAAGUUUCCAUGAAAGCUGAAGGCCUGAAUCCUUGUAACAAAUUAAAUUAUAUUGACAUCCUGGACUAAAUGUCUUAAUUGAAUCUGGGCACAAAGUAAAAGAUUUCAAAGACAGCGACGGAACACAUGACCACCUUUUCAGUUCCACUUAUCUAUCCAGUGACAUUGCUGGCAGUCUUUGAUUCGUCUGGCCAUUUCUGAAUCGUGCCUAUACAUGGUUGAAAUAUGACGAGUACAAUUGACCAGGGACUACAGUCAUCAUUUCUGCACUCUGUCACGUUACGAUUCUAUUGAGUAGAAUGAUUAACUCUCAAAUGCUGUUUUCCCUGCAGGUUUUCUUGAUCUCGGAAGCAUCUAUCGAAACUUUCUUCCAUUUUUUUAUCCAUUUGGAUUUUUUUUUGCUGUAGUUACUACCCAGUUGGAAUCAAGAUGGUGGAGGGGGGUGUUACUGCUGUGAGCAGAACAGAGCUCACGGAAUUCUGGCGGACGAUAUGGAGAACGCCUUAUAUUAUGCGCCUUGCCUUAUCAGCUGGAAUUGGAGGGCUUCUGUUUGGCUAUGACACUGGUAAGUAGACCUCGCUCCUUACUAAUUUCGAACGAUCACUUCAUCAUUUGUACGGUCUGAUAAUGAUGAAAUGCUGCUGCUGCUGAAUGCAUCAAUGAAGCAAAAAUAUUUCUUUGCAUUCAAGCUCUUACUUUUGCAGCUUUAGCUCGUCAAUCAAUCCAUCCGGGGAGGGGCCAGAAUGUAGAACAGUGCAUGAGCUUCAAAUUAUCAAAAGUAGUAGUUGAUCAAAUAGUAGUACGCGUUCUGUUCAAGUUUAUUGAAAUCGUUGUUUUGAUGCAGGUGUUAUUUCUGGUGCCUUGCUCUACAUCCGGGAUGACUUUGAUUCCGUUAAAAACAACACAUUUCUGCGAGUAAGUUACUUGCAAAUGCCUUUUGUUUGCACGAUGAAACGACUGGUUAAUUAAUAUCAGACAAGAUGGUUUAUUAUGAUACUUUCUCUGUCACGUGAAGGAAACUAUUGUUAGCAUGGCAGUAGCAGGAGCUGUGAUUGGUGCUGCAUUUGGUGGUUGGCUCAAUGACAAGUGUGGUCGGAAGAAAUCAAUUCUUUUAGCUGAUAUGCUGUUCGUUGCAGGUGCCAUACUUAUGGCUGCUGCUCCUGGUCCCUGGAUGAUCAUUAUUGGGAGAAUAUUUGUGGGAUUGGGAGUUGGAAUGGCGUCCAUGACAGCACCUCUCUAUAUUUCGGAAGCUUCUCCUGCUAGAGUUAGAGGUGCGUUAGUUAGUACCAAUGGUUUGCUGAUUACCGGAGGAGCUUUUCUGUCUUAUGUGAUCAACUAUGCAUUCACCAAGGUAUAAGAUAAGAUUGAAUCCCCAAAGCAACGUUCUUGAAACAUAACAUACUACCGGUACAAGUUUCCUCUAAAACAGGAAAAAAAAAAAAUAGGAGUGAAGAAGUUCUGACUUGUAUUUAUUUCAUGUGCCCUAGACGCCUGGGACGUGGCGUUGGAUGCUUGGAGUAGCAGGUUUUCCGGCUCUGAUCCAAUUUCUUUUGAUGCUUUGGCUUCCUGAGUCUCCUAGAUGGCUCUAUAUGGAGGUAAAUACAUAUGUAGUGGUAGUACUGCGAAUUUUCUGUUGUGGUGUGGUGUGGUGUUUCAAUAAUACCAAUUCUCGGUUAAUUUUCAUCAAAGUUUGAUGUUGGCGACCUUGAAUUCUGUUGAUUAGAAUAAAACGGACGAAGCUAGGAAGAUUCUGGAGAAGAUUUAUCCUGCCGAGGAAGUUGAGGAAGAAGUCCAGGCCUUAAAAGCCUCCAUCGAAGCUGAGAAAGCUCAGGAAGGGCCUGUAAAUGAAAACUUUUUCGCGAAGCUUAAAGCGGCCUGGGGUAAUGUAGUGGUCCGGAGGGGACUGUAUGCCGGAAUCACCGUCCAAGUAGCUCAACAGUUUGUUGGUAUCAACACCGUUAUGUACUAUAGUCCUACCAUAGUACAAUUUGCGGGAUUUGCUUCAAAUUCGACCGCUUUGGCACUAUCUCUGAUUACCUCUGGGCUUAAUGUUGUGGGUACCAUCAUCAGUAUGCUUUUUGUUGACAGAUAUGGCAGGAGGAGAUUGAUGAUAGUCUCCAUGUUUGGGAUCAUAGUUUGUCUGGUGGUGUUGUCCGUCAUGUUUUUUGAAGCUGCCUCUCAUGCCCCACGAGUCAGUCACUCUGAAUCCUUCAAUUUUAGCGUCAAUUCUACCUGUCCCAGCUUCGUCCAAGCCUCAAAUCCUGCAUCUUGGAAUUGCAUGACAUGCUUGAACGCAUCUCCUAAGUGUGCCUUUUGUUCUAAUGGAGCUAGCCAAGUGAGUUUUAAUUUUACAUGCUCUUAUUAAACGCUGUUCUUUCGAGGUUUCCACGAAUCUGUGAUUGAUACUUUUAUUAUUAUUAUUUUUUUUUUCAGUAAAUUGAUUGAUGAUUCGUUUGAAUAUGUGAUUCUUUCAUCAGUAUCAACCUGGGGCAUGCUUAGUGGUGGACGAUGCUCUGAAGGCUAAAUGCCACAGCGAACAUCAUCGCGUAUGGUUCACCGAAGGCUGUCCGAGCAAAUUCGGAAUUUUCACCGUCCUGCUCCUAGGAUUGUACAUCAUUUCGUACGCUCCUGGGAUGGGGACUGCACCUUGGAUCGUGAACUCUGAGAUAUAUCCAUUGAGAUACAGAGGGUUAGGCGGUGGAACUGCGGCAGUCUCCAACUGGGUAGCUAAUCUGAUUGUCAGCGAGACAUUCUUGACGCUGACAGAGGCACUUGGGUCUGCCGGCACUUUCCUUUUGUUUGCUGGAUUCUCCUUUCUUGGACUGGUGGCCAUUUUCUUCGUCGUACCUGAAACCAAAGGUUUGCAAUUGGAGGAGAUUGAGAGCGUGCUCCAAGAGGGUUACAAGCCAACCUUGUUCUGCUGCAAGGGAAAAGCAGAGGAAAAGGACAGUGGCAGGUGAAUAUCCAAACCAGUGCUGCAGCUGCUGCGUAAAUAAAUUUUUUUAAAAAAAAAGGGUCUUGCCUGCCUAAGUUUAAUGUUGAUCAACUUUUUUUAAGUUUAAUUUCCAACUGCGCUUGGGCUUGUUUUAUUUAAUCAACUAGUUUUGGACCCGUUCGUUGAACGGGAAUCGUCGAAAAAUAAUAAACUAUUUAGUCAAUUUAUAAAAAUGUCGAUAUAAAAUACAUAUUUAAUGUAUAAUCUAUUAUAAUUUGUUUUAAAUAUAUUACUAUGAGCGCAUUAUAAUGUAAAGUAUUCUUAUAAUAUAAAUUUGAACAUCUAAUUCAGUGAAUAAUAAUUCAAAAAUAGAAAAAAUAAUAUUCAACAAUAUCAUAGCAUUCAAAAACUUGAAAAUAAAUAAAAAGUGCAGUAAAUAGUAUCAAAUAACAUUCUACUCUUCAUAAACUUAUUUUUGUUUUUUCUGUUUGAAUAUUUUUCUUGAUUUGUCCGUGCAAAUGAGUAUUUAUUGAUUUUCUAUUAUCACUGCAUGAUAGCAAAGUAGGAUAAUUAAGUAUAAAAAAAAUAAAUGAUUUAUCGCAUUCAAGGUUGUGUAUAACAAUACGUAAAGAUUAUAAUUAAGCAAACGGCCAGAGUCUUUUAAUUAACUAAUGAAUUUGCAGAUAUAUCUAAUAGAGAUAUUUAUGUCUCUUAUAUUUAUAUCGCAUUACUUUCUAGUGCCUUUUGUUUUUGGUUGUUUUUUCUGAAGGCAAAUUAACAAACAUCGUAGUAUAUGACCACAAAAAUCAAUUAACAAACAUGAUAGAAAAAAUCCUACAAAAAAUAACAAUGAAAGUACUUGUUUAAAUCCUAUGUCUUCAUACAAAACAAAUAGAAAAUAAAACAAAAAAAAAUAAAAUUCAAAAUAUGUUAGUAAGCUCUUACAAUUGAAGAUCAACAUGCCUUUUUAAAAUAUAUAUAUAUUGAAAGAAAAUUUACCUGAUAAUCAAGAGAAGUGGAAACUCAAAAUCGAUACUUUAAUAUGACAACCGUUUGCACUGGAAAUAUCUAAACAUGAAUUUGAUGCUUGAAAUCAAUAUAUUAGAGACUAUAUAUAGUGUAGGUAUAAGAAAUAAGAAUUGAUAAGAACAUUAAAAGUAUGUUUAUCUUAAUUUAAGUUGCUUAAAGUACGUAACUUUGGGUAGGAAAUAAGAAUCCUACAAUAUAAAGAAUUCUUAUAGGAAAUAAAAUCAUAAUCGUCCAAAUAAUUUUGGGUAGGAAAUAAGAUCUUAUGUGACCCAUACUAUGCACGUAUAUAAACCUGUACGUAAUAAAUUUACAAAUGCAUUAUCAAGAUAGAUUUUACCGACCUUAAAAGACCACCUCCACUAUAUCGAGUCCUUUAAGUGCAUGAACUCCUAUAAUGUGAGUCUACACACGAAAUACUCCUCACCAUCUGGGCAGAGAUGUAUUGUGAUUAAAAAAUUAUUAAUAUAAAUAUAUUUUAAAAAAAAGACGGGCGGAGAACACUACGGAUACUACGGACGGAGGUCUUUCUCUUGGAUUGGAGGACACUAAGGACGGAGGGUCGGGUAGGGGUCUUCGGGGUGCAAAACUUCAACAAAUAUCUAAUGUUUUAUCUCAUAUUUCUUUAGUUAUGAUAAUGGGAUUUUAUUUCUUUGGUUAAUGACACUCCAUUUCUUUAUGGACUUUUCCAGAAAUUUUCAAUCAGAUGAAGUGUCAUUUCUCUUUGUACAUCAAUUAUGCAUGGGAACUGUGAGUCUUAUAAAAAUUUUCUCGGGCUAACUUUCUUUAAUUUUCAUGUUUAGAUUAUUUGUAUGUUGUUCUAUAUAUGGAUAGAUUAUCUUAAAAUAAAAAGGAUCUAUAAUGAAGCUGUUAAAAAAAAGGACACUAUAAAAAAAUAUUAUCAUUUAUUCCUAUAUAUCUAAUAGAGGAGAUUUAUGUCUCUUUUAUUUAUAUCGCGUUACUUUCCAGUUUCUUUUUUGGGUAGAAAAUAAGAAUCAUAUAAUAUUAAAAAAUUUUAUAAAAAAUAAGAAUUGAUAUAUAUCAAAACAAAAAAAGAAACAAGUCAUGUAGAAAACAACUUGUCGUCUCAUUAAAUCAUAUAAGAAAGAGAAAAUAUAAAGGGAUAAGAACGAGCAUACGACUUUAUUAUAUAUAUAUAUAUAUAUAUAUAUAUGAUACGUUGGUUUUUGGCAAGUGAAGUACUUACUAUAUAUUAUUUGGCCAAAGAGGUGCUGGUAAACUUACAAAUACAACAAUUUCGGACUCGGACCAAUUUGCUUUGUUGAGACUUUUAUCCAUCGGAUAGCAAUUAAUCUCUACCGUCCGUCUAGGCUUUAUUUCCUUAAUUUUUUGGUCAGUUCAAUGAAUGGAUAAAUAUCGUGAUGGUGGUGGAGCGCGGAUGCCUCCACUUUUAUCAAAUCAUUAUUAUUAUUAUUUACUCCCAGGAGACAAGUACCCCCCCCCCCCCCCCCAAAACAAACACACACAAAAAAGAAAAUUUUUUGACAACAAAUACUAACACUUGUAGCAAUCAUCGUCGGCCUGAGUUGUGCUCGCCUCGCCGGAGAAGUCCUUUUUGUUUUUGUUUAAUACAACAAUUGAUAAAAUGAUGAUCCCAAAUUCUACUGACUUGGUGAGGAAACAGCAGCAUUUGUUUUACUUGAACCCAUAUUUUGUUUUAUUUUUGUCGGCAAAUAUGUCAUCUAAUAAUUCAACAAUUAUUCUCGACCUCUAAGCUAUGCCCCCAUCCCCCGGCCCCCAAAAAAAAAAAAAAAAUCCUUUUAAAGCACUCUUCUUUUCUCGUUUUAUGAAUGAUUGGUGCAAACUCAUUUAGACAUUUAGUGAAAUGGACUGCAAAACAACCCGACUUUAGUCGGCAUUCGAAUAUCUGAUUACAACUUCUCUUCUUUUCAUCAAACUCCACAAUAAAACAAACUACCAGUCAUUACAGCCCGACUUUAGCAGCGGUAACGAGGCUCACAAUCUUGAGUUAAAACUAUUGAUGAUGCAGAAAGUAAUCAUCACAAGCCAAAUACACACAGGACAAUUGUCUGAACUCAAGGGCACACGGACAAACUCCAGACGGACAAAAAAGAUUUGAGAGCCAUGGCAAAAGAAAAUUCAAACUGAGUAAAAUAUAUUAUUAUUAUUGAUGAGCGGACGACCCCUACUAUCCAAACACAUAUUUUUAGUUGCUCCGCCAGCUAAUAAGGACAACACAGUAGUACUAAUACUGAAGAACGAAGAAGAAUGAAUUCACCAAAACCAUAAAAAGUUGGUGGCCAGCGCCAGCCAGCUUUCUUACUUUCCAUAGGAGGAGGCUAUAUACAGCGCAAGUAUGCAAAUGCAGCGCCCCCCCCCCCACCCCCGCCCGGGGGGGUUCCAUUUGAACUCAAACUUACUUUACAACAAGCACACUAGCAAGUUAAAAGGGACCCUACUCAACUUUUCAUCAUUUUUCAUCCUCUGCGUUGUCGCUUCAAAAUCAAAAACUGCCCCCCUCUGCCCCUCACCCUUUUCUCUCCCAACAAGUUAAAAAGCAAGAAUUAGACAUCGAGACACAUAACAUGUACCCUAAAAGUAAAAACCACCUACUAGCCUCGUGAACAUUUCCAGUCCAAUAAUAACCAAGAGGGUAUAAAAAAAAAAAACACCAUCCUUUUUACUUUUCACUGUUUUUCUAGUAAGAUCACAAACCAUCUUUGAUUUGCCAACCAUGGCGGCAACAGGGUCCGAGAUACCAAGUAUGCUAGAACAUUUUUAAGUUCUUCAAUGGAGAAACUGAAAGGAAGAAUGAGAAGAAAAGGCAGUUGUGUCCUCGUAUUGGAGUAGCAGCCCCCACUAAUAAAAGAUGCCAGACAUCAAUCAGUAAAAACAUGUGUGAAAGUGAAAGAGGACCCAAAACAAUAAUAUGAUUUUAAGUGGGGAGAGGGGGAGGAGGAGGCUGAGCAAGCAAAGUGGAGCAAGAAUGAGCUGCCUGCAUAGUUCCAUAUCAGCUAGUGGGGGCCUUUUUGACUUUGAGAACCACCAAACAGGCGCAACCAAGGUGACUAAUAUGCGAGAGAGAAUCACCAAUAGUCUAGCAUGAUUAGUCAAGAAGAAAAUCACCAAUAACGCUCCGCAUGUUCAUAGGAAUCAGAUAAUCACUUGUUAUCAGUUUCAACGAAUUUGGACAUCCAAAAACAAGCUACAGGAUUACAAUCCAAAUCCUUAGCAAACAAAACCAAAACCAGGCAACCAAAAUCUCACCCACAACGCCGUACAAUAGAAGUGUUAAUGAAGGAGGGAUGUAAACCCUCAAAAAGACCUACCCGAUAAUAAUUAAUAAUAAUAAUGCUUCUAAAAGUCAGCUCUUCAUACUAUUUCCUAGCAGUCUAUAUUUUCCCCACUCAAUAGUAGAAUCCCAAACUCUGCAUCACUCUGUACAAACUAUCAGAAACCUUCCUUCCUAUAUACAGCCAAAAACAAACCACAGCAAGCGCUGAUAGUUUGAUAUGAAGGCAACCAAUCAAAUACCUUCUACGGGGUUGAAGGAGAAGCCUCUUGUCUUGGUUCUCUCAAGUACUCCAGAAGCCUUUCAGCCUGCCAAAGAGGAUGAAAAUGGCGUCAAGGUUCGGCAUUUCAUGUGUCAAGAAAUAGAGAGUCUAAUUGAACAUAUAAAGGCAACAUAUCACUCUAAUCCUUUCCAUAGGCAGCAGGACGGGGAUGGGGAAAAUCAUGGCAAAGCAAAUUUUAAAUAGCCCACAGGGCAUUCAUAACCUCGUAAACAAAAAUCAAUACUCGGUACAAAUACCCAGAAAACAAUAAAUUCAACGAUCAAUGAACGAUACCCUGUAAAAUCUCAGCACUAUAUACCUUAACGAUCAAUGAACGAUAAAUUCAACGAUCAAUGAGCGGUACCCUGUAAAAUCUCAGCAUUAUAUAUCUUAACUAGAGGCUUCAAACUUGAUUCGAACCAACUUGUUAAGAUACUCUACCAAUUACGGGCGUCCAAAUAGUUCAGUAAGUAUGCUGGAUCAAUACGUUCAGAUAAAAAGUCAAACAAAUUAAGUUCAAGAUUUCCGCAACAACAAAUUCUCAAAAUUGCAGGUGAAGGAACAUUGGCUUGUUAUCACCUGUCAUUCGAUCUAACGCCCUAAACAGAAUGCUGCAGAAAGAUAUCUAACUACGUGAAACUAGCUUAAUUUGAUCGCAAACACAAGAAAUAGCCGAGAAACGGAAGCUUCAAUCAAUCACAGAGAAGAUCAAAACCUCACCUUGUGCUUAGCCUUAGCAGUCCCAGUCUGAGACAGCGCCACAAGGGGAGGGAUCCCCCCUUCCCUAACCAACAACCCUCUGUUCCGAACACUAUCCCCACAAAGCUGCAAUAAUGUCAACACCGCGAAUUCCUUCCCCUUAUCAGAGCCAUCUUCAAUAGCCUCCACAAAGGCAGCAAUCCCACCUUCCUCCACAAUUGCAUCGCGGCCCAUUUGAAUCCCGGCUAAGCUACUCAGCACCACCAUCGCCUUCUCUGCCAACCCUGUCCCUUGCUCUCCGACCAAACCCACCAGCGGCCUCACCGCGCCGGCAGUCACCGCCCUCUCCUUGUUCAGUUUGACCGAGCAAAGCUUGUAGAGAGUUGUCAAAGCAUCUUUCUUCCCUCUGUUCGACCCAUUUAUCAACAAGGCCACUAGCGGAGGAAUAGCCCCGCAUGCGCCUAUUGACAAUUUAUUACUCUCGUCGACUAAAGCUAAAUUCAGCAGGGCGCAGGCAGCGUUCUGUUUCGAGAUCUCGGUGCCGGUUUUCAACACAUAAACGAGUGAUUUUACAGCUCCAGCGUCAGCUAUCAGAGCUUUGUUAUCUUGAUGGAGGGAAAGAUUCAACAAGGCCGUGACGGCGUGCUCCUGCGUCAGGGGGUCUGAGCACCGGAGCAGCGGUAUCAAGGCCGGGACAGCUCCAGCCUCGCCAAUGAGAGCCCGAUUAUCGGCCCUGUUCUUGGCCAGGAGCCUCAGUUUAGCUGCCGCCGACCUUCGAACUGCGACGGAGGAGGAAUUGAGUCCGUCUACGCAGAGUUUGACGGUGGGCUGAAGGUCUUCCGGCGAGAUGCUCUCGAUAAUCUCAGUGGAGAAGGUUUCCCUCUGGAGAAAGCCAGUGCAGGGUUCGGGCUCGUCCUGGGGCUGGAGCUCAGAGAUGGGGGCAGGAUCGGGGACGGUGGCGAGUCGGUGGAGCUCGCCGGAGAUGUCGCUGGAGCAGGCGGACAAGUCGCUGCCGAAGGAACGGGAAAUCAUGUCAAGGUAAGUAAAAUCCUCAGCUACGAACGGGGCGGCGGGAUCCCGAACCCCUCCGGCGGGGGUGUGGGAGGCAGUUUUGGUGGCGAGUUCGCCGAGACGGAGGUCGAUGAGGGCGGAGUCAGACAAAUUUUCGGAAACAUUGGUAGAAAUUUGGGGAAGGGAGAGAAGGGAAGGGUGGUCGGGGGAGGCGUCAUGGAUUUGGAAGAAAUUGGAGCGAAUAGUGCGCAUGGAACGGCCCAUGGAGCGGUGAAGUUUAGCAGAAGAAGAGAGGGGCGGGGGAGUGUAAUAGUAAUGGUGUUGUUGAGGCGUUUGAGGGAAGCGAGAGGUGGAAUUGGGAAUGGAGUGAGAGUAAGUAUGGGAAUGGGAAUCUUCUACGGACACCAUCCUAUCGCUAUAAUCCUAAUCCUAAUGCUUCUAAUCCUGAGGAGUGGAAGAAGAGUAGACUGCUGUGUUGUGUUUCCUCGUAUUACUGAUGGUUUGUUUCCUUGGAUGACCAACCAACAAAUACAAAUAUGCUUUCCACCUGAAAAUCUAGACUAAACAACCUUCAUAUACACACAUAGCAGAAAGAACUAACUAACUAACUAACUGCUUGGGGUGGUGGUGGCGGUGGUUGUGGUGAGUGGUGGUGGGUGGUGGUGGCGAGAUAAUUUCCAUAAUCCGGGAAAUUAUAUGCUUUGCUGGAGCCUCGGGACUGGAGUGGAGUGGAUGUGGAAUGAAGAGUCAGUCAUCCGUGUGAGUGGCGUGUUUGGCUCGUACUGUGGUCGUAGCUAUAGUAAUAAUGGAGAAGACGACUAGCAAGAGGAUGAGGAGGGUAAAGUGAAUACUAUGAUGGGAGGGGGUUUGGCGAAUUAAAAAGGGAGGGUACCCCUUACCUUACCUUACCUUACAUAUGGAUGAAUUUGAGUGCUGAGAGUGAUGGAAGGUUCUGGUUUGGUCCAUUUGGUGGGCUCUGCUUGCUUGCAAAGGGUGGAUGGAAGGUUAUAUUUAUUAUAUUUGAUAAGUUCACGGCGCUGUGUUGUUAUAUUGGGCCUCACAAAGGAACAUACAGCUGGAAUGUGAUCCACUGCUGGGGGCCCCACUCUCAGAAGUGUGUGAGGCAAAGCUUCCCGGGGGUGGAAGAGAUCAGGUGACCCUAGCAAAUGCCAAUGAUGGUAACAGUGGAACGUCGGCGACAUGGAUACUAGGUGACGUCGUCGUUUCUUUGCUACCCCCUAGGCUACCACCGGCAGUAGUGGCCACUACUGCAGAGUUAACUGUUAAGUCGAAUCGACUUUAAGCAGUGCAUUUGCUGGAGUUCAUACUCUGAACUACUUUAUGCUAUUCGAGUUUGAUUGAAUCGAGUUCAAUCGAUUUUUCAAGUUUGAUUUUUGUAGUAAAUUUUAUAAUAAUGAAUAAUUAAAAUUAUAUUAUAAAUAUACCAUCUGAUAAGAUUUAAGGAGUGCACAAAUCGUGAUUUAACUUGCUAGAAAUCGAUUCAAUUGCUUUUUUAAACAAUUCAAACUCAACUCUAACUCCAAAUCCAACUAUGCAUAUGAUAUCGCGGUACAGUAGUAUUUCUUUUUUUUUUUUUAACAAAAUUUUGAUUCAAACGGCUUUUAGGCUUCAGAAUGAGAUAAACUCUUUCCCUCCUCAUAAUCUUUUCAUGCACCAAAAAUAUUAUUAUUAUGAUGUAUUAGAUAUAGAAGAAUAUCAGCACACAACACAGAACCAUAAACUAUUUUUAUAAAGAAAUGAAAAAGGAACGGAGCUCCCUCACUUGACUGUUCCUUGUGAAGCUCCGUGAAGACAAACAUAAAAAAAAUGAACCAAAAAAAAAAAAAAAAAAAAAAAGUACUCCUACUAGUAGUAAAAGGAUUGCAUACAAAAAAUGGGGCAAAAUCGUGACUUCAACUUGUUUGGAAAUUGUGGAAUUCCACGAGCAGUUUCUUUCUUGUAAAUGGUUUCUUGUUUAAAUUGCUAUGUUUUGAGGAAAAAAAAUUCAUUUUUCGUGAAUAAUCCUUUUAAUUAUCUUUUUUAACCUCACAUAUAUCGCAUUUUUUAAAAAAAUUGUUGCAAUAAUUUUUUUUCUAAAAAUUCUUUAAAAAAUGCAAUCCAAACAAUUUUAUUUCAAACUAGUGAUAUUUUUUUUUUCGACAGUCAGCAAUAGUCUACUCAUACUUCUACUCGAACAUAUUCUAAGGGGAGUCCAACUGGGUCAAUAGAUAACCAAUUUGAACCAAAUCACCAUCGGAUCGAACGAAUGCACUAUAUACCUGUAUGAAUUUUUUAGAGAAUCGCAUAAUGUAACAAUUAGUAGGAGGUAAGGAUUCACAAAGCCUCCCACCCCACCAAGCCUUAAGGACCUGGUGGAGGGCCGGUGGUCACAAACUAGUGAUAUCCGAAGGCUAAGAAAACGAAUAUUGAUUUGUGCACAUAAAUUCUGGUUGACAUGGAAUUGCUUCACAAGCAGAUAGAGACUAACGUCAGUCUCACUCCCUUACAAUUACUUGAGUGAAGAAUAAAUAAGUAGGAGUUCAUGCCAAUCUCCACCAUUCAUUUGAUUGCAAGCCAUAAUUCAAAAGAUACAUACAGAUUUUAGUCAGAGGUGAUCUGAGAUUAAUAUGAUAUAAAUAUAACUGUCAAAGGUUUCCCCUUUUUAAAAAUGAAAGAAAAAGAAAAAGUGUUACUCAUGGGUGUUAGGUACUGUUUAUCCACUUUGGUUAAUUACCAGGGAAAAUGAUGUGAUGCGAACUUGAUGCAGUGUAUCCUGAAAAAAAUAAGACAGUAAACCCAAAAAAAAAAAAAAAAAAAAAAAAGGAGGAGGAGAAUGAAGAAUGAAAACGUUUAUAAUUUGGUGAACAGAUUUUAUUUUUCCCGUUUUCUUUUCCGCUGAGCUGAUUUUUUCAACCUGAAGCCUGAAGGGGCCUGCAGGGGAUAAAGUGUUUAAAGGAAUAAACUUUUUCCCUUUUUUUCAUUUUUCUCGAUUCUUUUGGGUUGCGGGAGAGAGUGACAGCGGAAGCAGAUUCGCAUGGAGGGUGCCGCUACGACAAGAGGCCACUUGGUAGGAGGAGAGUAGCGUUUGGGAAGUGGUUCACAACUGUCAACUGGGACGGGUGGUGUUAAUAAAUGCCUAAUCCCUUCCUGUUCUUAAACUUUCCUCCAGGUUAGAGUCUGGAGAUUGGUCGGUUUGUGGUGAAGUUGUUCGUUGGAUCCUCAUCGGACGGUGUCAGGGGCUUUGAAAAUUGAUCCCCCAGUCAACUACUAAAGCAUUUUGCGCCAUGCAGCAGCUCGCUGGCUGUUGACAGAGGCUGACCAAAUAGGGUCCGGUUCUUCCCAAGUAAAAUUUAGUUGAAGUCAGUCGAAUUCAAUUUGGAGUAAAAAAAAAAAAUUUUGUUAUUUUCAUUCCAUUUUUUUUUAAAUUAUCUACGCUCAUAUCAUUUAUUUUAUUAGAUAGUUCGACAAAUAAAUAUUAUAUGAUUAAAAUAAUAGUAAAAAGAAGCCAAAUGUUCACCAAUUAGGCUGGCUAUCAAUCGCUGAUAUAGCCCAAUUUGCGUAGCCAUGUUCUGCAAGUAUUUGGCAUUGUACAAGUAGAGUUUGUUUUUGAUUUCGGCACGCUUUUAUCUUGUAUUAAUGCUGAUUUCUUGGAGAUAGGUAGCAGAUUAGUUAACUCACAUGAUAAUAGGUUCUGAUCUAUUAAUAUCCCCAUCCAAACCAAGCAAUCGGUUCAAGUGAUUACCUGGUACGAGAGGCUCGAUAUGUCAAAUUGGGUAAGCAAUUUACUUGGAAAAAAUGAUGGCAUCGGUUAAUACAGCGCAGUUGCAUGGACCCAUUUUAAGGCAUUAACCGUUCCCCGUAACACGUCCUCGCUGGCUGGAGAGGCCGGCGCCUCCAUCACCUACUACUUCCGGCCGGCUACUAUAUCUCAAAUCAAGAAAUCAAAAGCAGAUAUGCUGCUCUUUUCAAGAUUUUGUUACCCCUUUCUAAUUAAUUAGUCUCUUUCCAGCUUCUUCUGGGUUUAUUUUGGUUCUUGGUUUGAAAUUUUCUUCCCUUCCUUUUUUUCCUUUUGUCUGGUGGUUUGCUUCUGUCUGCAAUCUUCUAGUAGCUUUUUUUCUAGCCAAUUUUCUAUUUAUGGUCAACGAUGCCGGAGCAGCACGAUGUAACGUUGCGGCGUUCAAUUUGUCAUGAUCAAAUUCUGGUGUUGAUGUUAUAAAUUUCCACAGUACGGAUCAAAAUUCCUCUUCUUUUGGUUUUGGAAGAGAAACCAACGCAGAAGGUUUGUAGUUUCAACUUUCAAAGUCUCGAAGAAAUCCAUCUCAUUAAUUUUCUGGGCAAGGUCCACUCAUGGUCAUGGGCGGGCAUUUGUUUUACCGGGCGGCAGGCAGGCAGAGGCUUAGCUAGCUACCGUGAAUUUAUUUAUCUCUCUUUUGAUUUUUUAUUUUUCGGAAGGGAGCUACCAUGCAUGAAAUAUGGAUGUACUGAGCGAUGGAUAUAAUUGAAAAAUAAAUAUUAAAAAAAAAAUCUCAGUGGUAGCCACUAUUGCAUAUUAUGAAUAUUUAUGCGCAACGGAUAUUCUGUCCCAUAUUCUGUGCCACUCUCUAUCCCACUUUUUAUUAUAUUGUUAUUUUUCCUACAUAAACAUCAUGUUUUAAUUUUUUUUUGUUUUCUUAAGAUUCAAUAACUAUUAAUUGACAAAUAAACAUCAUGUUUUAGUUGUUUUCUUAAAAAGUGGGACAGAUAGUCCUCGCGAUAUUUAUGAUGCCACAUUAGAGAUUCAGAAUGGUCAUAUUUAGGCAACAAUUAGUGCUAGCUAGCAACACAUAUUACAAAAUCCCAAAAUUUGCUACCUAUAACUACUGCCGAUUGCUUGUCGCCAACUAAUAAGUAUUAGCCAAACCAAAACAGCUUAAAAAUGUCAAAAUAGUUGCAGUCCAGUAGUAUUAAUUUGGCAAACGUGGAAAUUUUCUGAUGCCAUGUUGUCCUUGCAUGAUACACAGCAUGCUUAGUUGUUUACCAACUUUGUAGAGGACCGGCACGUCCCCCCCCCCCCCCCCUCUUUAUCUAUCUAUUAUAAGUAGUAUUUUUCUUGAAAAAUUUUACUGUAAUAAUGUAUAUGAAAAAAUUGUACUAUAAAAAUUAUUUGAAAAUUUUAAUGUAUUAUAUUGAUGAGAAACACCAUAAAGUUGAAAUUCACGUUCUUAAUGACCAUUGUGAUUAAAUGGCAUGGGGGCAAAAAGAAAUCUUAAAUAAGCUGACGGGGCGGGGAAUGGGAGGUCCUCGCAAUCAAAAUGUAGGGUAGGACAAAAAAAUAUGAUAAAUGUUCAGUUCAACAAAAUUGCGAGAAAAGGAAGAUGAACAACCCAAUUCUCAAUAACGAAACAUAUUAUUUCUAGUCAUUGCAGUAGCGUGUAGAUCAUUGCAAUAGCUUUCCGACACACGCAUUAAGGAUGUGGAUUAAAGCACUUGUAAAGUAGUAGUACAAAGUAAGUUGGGGUUAACCUUUAAAAGUUGGAGUGACGAGGUUUCUGAGUUAUAGUAAAUUAUUUCCUGCAAAAAGUACACUCAUUCUUUCUAUGAUGUAUUAAUUCUUUGGGGUGACCACACCAGCCACUAUCAGCUGCAAGUUGCUGCUGCUGCUAAUGAUGCAGUAUGUGUCAUGGUCAAAUCUUUUGGAGUGUCCAGAGUAUAAAUAAUCGUCACUUUUGUCAUCCAAUAUUGACGUGUGCAAUUAAUGAUGAAGAGGAAGGACAUCCUGUCCUCCGUCCAAUGGUCUGGUGUAAACUUCGCUUCCUGUAUUAAUGCUUCUUAAUGUAGUACAGUAGUUGAUUUGAUUAUAUUCCUUGAACCUGAACAGACGCAGGUCAUAACAGGAAGUUGUGUGCAAGAAACAAUAAUAAGAUGCUAAAAGAAACUUUUUUUUUUUUUUUUUUUUAAGAUAUCUUCUCCUGUUGCCUGAAAACCAAUUAAGGAAAAAAAAAAAAAAAAUUCCCGCCACCAAUUAGAAGUAAUUUGGUGGUCGCCAAGGCACAUGCGACUACUGUCCCUUCCUAAAAUAGUUAGAAAUACACAAUUUUUUUGGUCCAACCCAAAUUCAAAUUGGAGUAAAUUUUUUUUGGUUAGUCUGCGCGGUUUUUAGGGUCUGCGUACAAGUUGACGUUUUCUUGUUCUCAAUGACAGAGAAUUAAUUUUCUCAUGUCAAAAACAAACCCCAUAUGUGAUGCGAUUUGUUGCUUGUAGACGUUACCCAUUAUUCGCAGUUGACUUAUUUGUAUCGUUAAAAACAGGAGGGUUCAUCUAGAAAGGGGUUUAAGUGGUUGACCAAUCAGACGUUCUUCUUCUUCUAUGUAUAUAUAUAUAUAUAUAUUGAGUCAACUAAUCCAAUUAUUAUUGCUGCUUAAUACAUGAUGAAUACAAAUACAUAGCAGACCAGACCUACUUGGCAUGGUGGAUUGCGUCUGAUUGUGGUCCAAAAGUACUUCAACAACAAUGCCUUAUAGAAGGUGGUGUUCGAGCGACUCCAACCAUAAUAUAUACUCCCUAUAAACAAACUAGGCGUGUUGAAUUAGUAAUUUUGUCAUUCUGACACUUAUGAUUAGUACUAAUCAGACCCAAGUUGCCGUACGGAUCCUCUAGCUAAACAAGCUAUUGGUACAAACAAAGAAAAAGCAAUCGUGUCGUGGCAUAUCCUCCGCCAAAAAAAAAAAAAGAAAAGUAUCUGACCCACCCCAGAAUCUCCAAGCAAAAGUUGUUAAACUCAUGCAAGCGCCGAUUCCUUGCUUUCGUUCAUCCUUGGAUACCAGAAGUGGGGGCAGCAACUGCAAGGGGAAGGAAUAUUGGCAUUGUGCCUUGCUCAAAGGCAGAAGUCUUUUCCUUGAAGCCUCUUUCAUUCUUUUUUUGGUCCAAAACGAAGCUUCUUCUUUCAUUCAUUAGUAGCAGCAAUUAUAUAUAUAUAUAUAUGUAUAUUUUUUCCUUUCCCUCCUCCUCUUGCAACUUAAAGAAUUUCUUGACAGAACCAGGGAUUAUCACCACCAAAGAAGAGAUUAAAGAACCAUUUUUCCUUCUCUGAUAAUUUAGAGAUUUUUGCUUCAAGGAGUGAACAACCGUUUAGAAAAAAAGUAUGAAAGAGACGCAACAUAUUAUUGCGUGCGUCAUCUUUGCUAGGGGCUGGCUAAGGCUAACAAAAUUUAAUAUGGCCCAUUCGUUGAACCUUGCAAAUUUAUUCCAACCACUCCUCUGCUCUGCCUGCGGUGAGGCGGCAAUCGUCAAAGCAAAGCAUUGGGUCCAUCCAUUGAGGGAAAAGAAGGAAAGGAAAGAAGAAAAAAAGCAUUGGGUGUACAAUGGCGGCAGGGUAGUGCGGGUCCACCAGUCCAUGCCACGUGCCCAAAAUUGGCUGCUGGCGGUGAUUAAUUUUGAUGGGCCAGAACCUGACAGAUGGGUUAGUUUCUCCAUCGUUAUUUGUUUCUCUUAUGAGAUAUGGACUUGUUGUGAUUUGAAACUCUAUUCGAGCUCAGUCCUGGAAACCUUCUAGAUGUGGGCGGUUUGUGCUGCGGGCGGCCUAUUAGAGUCUCCAAUUGGCCCGUUUUUGACAUGCUGCAAGUGAUUUAAAGAGUGGAUACAGUUAAAUAAUGCAAGGCUCUGGUGAUUAUUUGCCGCGUAUAAAUUUUGAAGAAACACCACGCAGCAUUUCUGACUUCCUAAGCUAAGCCGCCACCGUUCUGUCACUUUCUUGACCAUCUUUUUGGUGGCUUGCAGUUGCAGCUAGUUCUCGUCCGACAGACGUCAGAUUGCGCUGCUUGCAGGAAUAACAAGAAGGUAAAGUAGCAGAGGGCACUAAUUACUAAAUAUAACGGAACAAAUUAAGGCCUAACUCAAGAGACCCAACCUGAAAUCAACAUUUUCUAAACACACAGUACUGAUUUUUUAGUUUUCAAAUUCAAGUCCAAAUCCACCACGGCGGCGCCUUGAGGUUGUGUACGCCACGGUGAAUUGCAAGUAGAAUAAUGAGAAGUUAAACAACAUAAAAAAAAAAAAAAGGUUCUAGGCUCUCAGGAAAUCCAUUUAUAUGCCCCUUUUUGCUGAUUUGUUCUAGGCUACUAAAAGCCUCCCUUCCCAAUUCCCAUCAUCAUAUGUGGGGUGGGCCAAGUGUAACAACAUGGAUCAAGGAGCUAUAUAUAUUUAUACAGAUUCGUUAUGUAAGUAAUAUCGUCGCAUCAUUAACAAGUCAAAAAAAAAAUAGAGUCCAAAUUUCUUCUUACUUAAUUUUACUGUUCGGUAACCCUGGUAAGGAGUAGGGCCUAGAGGCCAAGAGCAAAGCGACACCCUUAGUUGGGCCAAAACUCCCCCUGGAAACAUGCGCUGGUGGGAGAUGGUAUUUUGGGCCAAAACUCAACCCAAGGAAAUUUUUUUUAAUUAUUUUUAAAAAAAGGGAUUUGUGAAGGUUGAAUCUCGGAAUUGCUUCAAUAUAGUUGUAGACAUAUAUAUAGGCAGCCUAGGUUGGUUCUUACGAAGUAAAAUCUCUCAGUUUAUGCCCCCAUGGGCCCCAUCCAGAGGCAGCCAUGGUUUGGUUUGACCAGGCUGGGCGGGUCAUAUGGGUGUUGCAGCAGAACUCUAUCAUCUCAUGAAACCUAAUCCAAUUUACUACUACAAUCCUACAUCUGACGAUAGUCUUACGAAAGAGUUGUUACUACUAGUUCAUCUGUUAGUGGGUCAAGAUUCACCCGAGUCAAACUGCAAAGUGUGGUGGUUAGGACUGUUGGGAAUAAGGCAAUCCAUGUAAAACUGUUCUCCCUACUUCUUUUACAGUUGCAGUUCUUCUUCCGCAACAAUUAUUACUUGGUUUGACCUUCAAUUCUCCCCAAGCAUUAGGCAACGAUCAUUAUAUAUAUGUUGAGAAAAUGUGCAAGUCUUCUUAAAAAAAAAAAGAGGUGUGCAAAUACAGAGGGAAAUGUUGAGAAAAAAAAGGUUUCCUCAUGCAAAUCUCAUUCUGCUCUGCAGAAAGAAGCAUAAGUUCUGUGUUUUGCCCAGUGUUUUUCCAAGUCCUACAAGAAUUUCAUUUCCAGGUGGUUACCUAAAUCUCUAACCAAAAGGAGUCUUAAUUCCAUUCCCAAUCUUAGAGUGAUUCGGUGCGGAAGAAAAAUAAAAUAAAAUAAACGUUACCAUAAUCUGAAUGAAGAAGGUUAUUCUAAAACGACUAAAAAUUGGUAGUAUUUCCUUUUCCAACACGGUCACAGAAAUUGGCGCUCCAUAGUCUAUAUAUAAGAGGCCAUCCAGCCCUCUUCGACAUUAAGAUUACAGCUAUCGAGCCCCCUGCACUUUAGAAGUUUUCAUUCAGGUAAUCUCUCUAUUCUUCGAAUCUUCAAUCUUCAUGCGCCUUGCCUUGCUUCCCAGUUUGGAUUUUAUCAAUUCUACGAGAAGCCUCAUUAGUAUAAUGUAGCAGGAAGUUGUUUAUAGUACGAUUGUAGUUGAAGUUAGAGAUAUUAAGGGUUGAAAAAAAAAGGGCAGUUUGUUGAAACAUAAAUCGAAGUAUACUUGUUGAAGUACAUAUAAUAUGAAUGACUUCUGAUGAUCUUUGACAGGUGCCCCAUCUCCAACAAAACUUGGAACCAUGUUUCCUUUUCAAUUGCAAACCCCUCACCAAACUACCUAACUACUCUUGCCCCACCAGUCUCCUAUAUUAAGACUCCCUCUUCCAAGUCUUUCCCUUCAAUCUUCCCUUCUCUCCAACGCAAGCACUAGUUAUAUUUCUCGCACCAAUUAUCUUUCUGAUCAACAGGCUAAUUGACAAAGAUGGGUGCAACAAUGAGAUGCAUGGUGAUUCUUGGCGUCCUGUUUGCUCUGUUUAUGUCGUCCACUUCUGCGCAGUCAUGUUCAAAGUACAACUUUGCUAGCAAUAAAGUUUUCAGUGCCUGCAGCGAUCUUCCAUAUUUGAACUCCUAUCUUCAUUGGACGUACAGCCCAUCUUCCCAGAGUCUUGAGAUCGCGUUUAGGCGCUUGGGAACAUCAUCAUCAAGAUGGGUUUCUUGGGCUAUUAAUCCAACUUCUCAAGGGAUGGUGGGAUCACAAGCACUCGUGGCUUUCCAGAAAUCUGAUGGAACCAUGAGAGCCUACACUUCGCCUAUAAAAAGUUACCAGACGGGAUUACAAGAAGGAGAUUUGAGCUUCCCAGUUUCGGAUUUAUCUGCUACUUAUUCGAAUAACGAGAUGAUCGUUUAUGCUACCUUGAAGCUGCAGAAUUCCAGCUCUACUCUGAACCAGGUGUGGCAAGAAGGUCCACUCUCAAACGACAGCCCUGGAAUGCAUCCCACCACUGGUCCUAAUGUCCAAUCCAUGGGCACUCUCAACCUACUUUCUGGAGAAUCUAAGACCACAGCAGGAGCCUCAAGUUCAAAACUCAAGGCUAAGAAUGCAAGUCUUUGAAUCGUUUUUCCCUUUCUUUCUUGAGUUCGUGAUUAUAUAUCUUUACUUUCCCCCCAAAAAAAAAAUAUAAAGACUUGUAGAUAGAUAGACAUUCCUUGAAUCUAUUUAACAUGUUAUUUGUAAAGAAAAAGUUAAUCAUGAUAUUGCUGACCCAAUCCGCUUUUUGAUAUGUUUCAGAUUCAUGGGGUGCUGAACGCGGUGAGUUGGGGAAUUCUGAUGCCUCUGGGGGCUAUAAUCGCAAGAUACGUUAAGGAAUUUCCUUUGGCGGACCCUGCUUGGUUUUACCUUCAUGUUACCUGCCAAUUAUCGGCCUUCAUCCUUGGCGUGGCCGGAUUUGGUACUGGGCUCCGCCUGGGGAGCCAGUCUCCAGGAAUCACGUACGCAGUCCACAGGGGCCUUGGCAUUGCUCUCUUUACCCUGGCAUUGGUUCAGGCGAGUGCUUUGCUUAUAAGGCCGAAGAAGGAUCACAAGUGGAGAAGCUACUGGAAUUGCUACCACUACCUGGUCGGAUACGGAAUUCUCGGCAUCAGCAUCGCCAACAUUUUCAAAGGAUUGGAUAUCCUGAGCCCGGAGAAGAAAUGGAAAAGAGCAUACAUUGGCAUCUUGGUGACCCUGGCAUCUCUUGCCCUUCUCUUGGAAGUAAUUGUAUGGUUCCUGAAGAGGAGCAAGAGAUCUGCAGGUGCUGACAAGUUGAAGUCGUCCCACGGCACCAAUGGGACAAAUGGACUAAAUGGCUAUGGAGGAAGGAAGCCUGAGACAGUCUAGUUUACCAACUUGAGAUUUAUUCCUCCCUAUACAACUCUUUUCAUUUAGUGUUUUCCUUUUCGGUCGUACCUAUUUAUGCACCCGCAUGUAUAUUUUCCAACUCGACGGCAGAGGUUUUAAGAUGAGUUUAUGAUUUAGUAGUAGUAGAAUUUUAGAACUCCACGCCGAUAUGUAGGUACUAUUGUUUCUUGAAUGGCAUCUGCGGAUUUAUUAUUUUUUUUUCCCAUGAUUAAAAUCUCUUAUCUAUAUGUGUCUUUUUUCCAUAGUCUUAUUUCUGAUCAAUAGGUGUCUGUACUCUGUAGAAAAAGCAAUUGGUGUAUGAUGACACACAUCAUUAUUUGCAGAGACCUAGAAAUAUUGACAGACAGACAGCAAAUACUUUAUUUGUCCCAGUCAAUUCGUCCACUUCCUGCAACAUGUGCUGAUAUCAAUAAUUUAAUUAUCAUAUUCUCAACCAUCCAUGAAAAAAAGCUAACUUUUUAUGUUGAUUACUUUGCCCUAAUUAUGCAACCAAUGCUAAAAUCAAGUAUCUUACGUUUUCUUGGAAAAAAAAAAUGCCCACAAGAGUUUCCAAGAAACAAACUACAGUAGCGCAAAGAUGCACAUUCCGCGGCAUGGCUAUAAAAACAGCAAAGCGCAGAGAGGAGAGGCAGAAAAUACUCAAACAUAGAACUAGCAAUUUCUUAAGAGCCAUAAGCUUCAGAUAUCAAGAAAAAGCAUUUUUAGGAGCUCCAUCCAAUGUAGGGUGAACUUGGAACUAAGGUAGUCAUAUCAAUUGGACACUACAGCGCAUUUGGUGCAGCUAAUAUUUUGCAACUCAGUAAAACUGACUAGGCCAUUUUCCAGCUAAUUAGAGUGCCUCUAAAGCCUUUGACGUGAACUGAAUAGAUGAAUAAUCUGUAAUUCUUCAUAAUAUAUAAGAAGGUGACUGUUACGGAACUGUUGUGGUAGCUCUCUGAGUUACCACGUUUCUCUCAUUUGGAUUGCUGCAAUGCCUCAAUGAAGGCAUCCUUGAGAAGAGGAUUUGAAGCUGCUAUUCUUUGCGAGGUGAUAUCAAAAUCAGCACCAGACCUGCGGCAAAAGCAACAUGCAAUACUCAUAAAUAUCCUCUUAUCAUAUAUAUAAGUUAAAGCAAUUAUAAAAUUCAGUGCUAUAUCUACAGAUGCGACAUUUAGAGACUUGGCAUGUUUCAUUUUGGAACGACAUUCUGAACUCCAGAACCACUGGAUGAACAGCAUGCAGAUCCAAUUCUUUUAAUAGACCAGGAAGAUGUCAGAAGUUCGGAGGACUUACGGAUCAAACAGAACGCCUCCAGCUUCUUUAACAAUGAGAGCACCACCUGCCACAUCCCAAGGGCCUCCAUAUCCAAGUUCAUAAAAGAGAUCAAGCCUUCCACAUGCAAUACCACAGAGAUUUAAAGCACAGGAGCCACUCAUCCGAAGAGACCUCACCUGAUGUAUUGAGAAACAAGUAAUAUUAAUUAUGCAAUUUAAAAACUAUAUUUAAACUCCUGAUCCCAUUGCAAGGAUUUAUUUUACCUUGAACAGUAAACUGUUAAUUUUGUUGGUACAGGUGUCCACAGUUAGUUUAUCACGCUUUGUCCCAGCCUGCUUCCAGGAAUCAUUCAUUCAGUAGCUGGAAGCAAACUAAACAUCCACAAUUUAAGAUGAAUAAACUUUAUGCUAGUUUGUACUAUCUCAUAGAAUUCACACAUGAGAGAGAGAGUGAAGAAGGAUCAAAUGAAGUCAUCCACAAUCUGAUGCUGCUGGAUCAGAACCAAUGUCUCAAUGUUCCCAAAGGGCAAAGCUAUAGCGCUUUUUCGAGCUAGUUAUUCAAACAAGAAUGCUUAAUGCAAAUUUUAAAAGGGUAAAAGAAAUAGACAAGGCUCAUCAAAAACAUAAUCUGUUGCUGAAAAAAUGUCCAUGGUCUACAAGAACUUAAAUUAUUACCAAAAACUUCAUUCAAUGUUCUAUUUCUGCAUGCUUAUGAUACGUUCAUGUUGCUGAAGAAAGCUGGUGGUGUUCACAAGCAUAAAAUGAGGGAAGGCCUCAAUGUUGUAACCAGCAUACAUUCUUAAAAUGUGCUACAGCUGAUGGAUGAAGAGUUACCCAAUGGUUCCAUGAAAAAGAUACCAGUAUGUGUUUAGCUACGUAUAGCUGAAUACCUACCCCUGUAGCAAGAAGAGACUUCACGAGUUCAGACUGAGAAGACACUGCAUAUGAACAAAAGAAGUUACUGAGAGGUUUCAAGUUUGAAUAGCAUCAAAAUAUAGCACACUAAUUGCAGAACUAAACUUACCUUUUAUUGGUUUUCCAUUCAGAAAAGCUCCUUUCCCCUCUAUCCCAGUGAAAAGCUGCAAAGUAGAAGAAAGAGUUUUCUCAACUCAACCAGCAAUUUUUUUUUUAUUUAUUAUUAUUUUUUGGUGCCACAACUCAAUCAGCAUUUGUUGCUAUACAUCUAUUGGAUUUGCUAUUUGUGAGCAUGAUGAGCAUAAUUUUGGAAACCCACUAUCCACUGGAUAAAGGAACCCCAAUAGCAUGAAGGGAACAAGAAAACAGAAGCAUCGUGCUUAACAGGUUUGCAAGAUGGACUCAGGCAGACACUACAGAAAUUACUCAUGAAACAUUUCAAUUAUUUAAGACAGAUCCCUCUGGCUUUAUUUCUUAGCUUUCUACACAUGUACAUUUUCUCUAACAUUGAUAGUUCAAAUACCAAAACGAGUAGGUUUUUCGUAAUAAAAAACAGUGUCUCACCUCAUCUAUAAUGGGAUUGUAGACAACACCAACUGUUGGAACCUUUCCAAGUGUAAGACCAAUAGAAACGCACACAAAAGGGAACCUACGAGUCACCAUAUUAUCAAAGUAAAUUGCUUUAGUAACUUGCCAUAUAUCAGAAAGUCUGUCUCAAUAGCUAUGCUUAUUGGCAAGGCCAAAUUUUUACCCAUGCACAAAGUUUGUUGUUCCAUCGAGGGGAUCAACAAUCCAAGUUGGUUCAUCAGUUAGCUCUGUGACACCACAAGCAGCAGUAGUUUCUUCUCCAAUGAACUAGCAGGAGCAGAUUAUUAGAACAAAUAUUAGUGCAAAUGUCAUUAAAAAAAAACACAUCCUCAUCAAGCACAAUUCAAACUACACUGCCCAGCCCAAAACAAGGCAUACAGAAUAAUGACAGUUUACCUUGUGGCUUGGAAAAUGUUGCUUAAGGUGAUUGAAUAUGAGAUCUUCACAUGCUUUGUCAGUUUCGGUGACCAAAUCCACCUUCAUUGCAGGGAUGAUAGCGUGGAAGGUAAACAAUAACCAAUUGUCAUUGAGCCUUUAAAAAGAGAGUAAACUGUAUACACUAUUAUAGUUGUAUGUAUGACACAUGCAAAAUUUGGAUUUCAAAUUCAAAUUCGGAUUAUGUGUUAUGUAUCUAAUGAUGAAACUGUAUAUACUAUCAGUGUAUAGAAAAUUAGUCCUCAAAGAAAUGUAUAGGAAAAGUGCAGGGGAAAAAAAAACCGCACCACAUAUCACAUGCAAUUGUAAACAACUAAAAAUGGUCCUUGCUCUUAGAAUUUUGAACCUCCACGCCCCAUUGUAGCAAGCAUUGAACAUUUUGCCUUCAUGUGGGCAUCAAGAAACCACAUAUAUAAGCAUUCCAAAAUCCUGAAAAUCUUUGUUUUGUCGUCAUUGAACAAAUUUUCCCUUAUACCGUACCCAACUCCCAUUGGCGGAAACUACCAUUGAAUUUGAAUGUAGCGGAAACUACCCCCCCCCCCCAAAAAAAAUCAAUCUUUCCACCCACCGUUAAUCAAGUAAAAUCACAUUAGUCACAAUUAACGGCAAUUGGUCAAAUUUGAAAGUAUCAGCAACAAAAGCAAAAUCGAAAAAUUCCCCAGACUCGAAGACAUGAUCUCAAAAGUUUUGGCCUUUCAUGCGAACGUCAAAGACAAAAAGGUGAACACCAGCAGAACAGAGCUCAAUGAACUUCGAAGGGGAAACAAUAAAAGUUCACCACACCUGGCUUUUAUGCUCCACAUGCUUGGUCUGAUAGAACCCAUUACGAAUUAACUGUUAAGAUGAAAGAGAAAAAUGAAAAGUAAAGUAAACCCAAAAUGACAACCUUUUUGAAGAUGUUGAAGGCGAAAAAACCAUACAAUAAAAGCCUAUCAAACAAAUUGAAGGGGGUGGGGGAGCUUAGGAAAUCAAUCAAGCAACUCAAGGGAAAAGCAACAAUGGAGAAAGCGUUAAACUUGAAAAGAAGAAAAUUGGUUGAAUGAGUGUGAGAGUAUUCAACCUCUCCAGCUUUCUUUGCUGCAUCCACUGCAACGGACAGGAAUUCCUCCACUGAUUUCAAUCAAGAAACGAAUUUUCAGUCCCAAGAAACAUGUUACAAACAGCGACGGUACAAUUUCCUUCACAAUCAAAUAACAGAUACAUGCAAAAAAAGAGGAAAAGAAAUUCUAAAUGUGAAAACAUUAAUUGGGGUCCAACCAUUUUGGGCCAUUCUUCUCUCCUGGGGGAAAAUGGGAAAAAGAGGGCGACGCAGACGUGAACAGAAAUGGAGUGGGUGGGGGUGUAGCGGGUUGGGGAUGAUGGACGGUUGGACGCUUUUAGAUCCUACCGGUACUCGUAAUUUGGCUGACACCAAAACAAGGACUGCCGAUGCUUCGUUGCAUGGGGGAGAUGGAAUUGAAACAGGGCAGCCAGCCUCCAACUAUUUUGCUAGUAGUAGUAGCAGGGGAGUGUAAUCUAUAGGCAUUUUUUAUUUUAUUUUAUUUUGUUUUAUUUAUUUAUGGGACGACCCGUCACACUGAUUAGUACUAAAGCUAAGGAGUAGGGACUAGGAACAGGAUACCUGAAAUCAAUUGAUUAGUAGCAUUUUCACCUUAUUAGGUUUUAAAACAGUUCAAAUAAAAAAUGUUAUCUUAAAUACAGUUGAGAUGAGCCCGACUUGCCAAUUUUGAUUCCAAAUUCAACUUGAACCAAUUCCGCUUAUGAUUUUUGAAAUAACAAAACAAGUUUUGAUAUGAACUUUUAAUUAAAAAGGGUUGAACAUGAUUGAAAGGUAGAUAGAUAUCCUUGGAGAUCGGAGCGAAUAACAUUCUUGAAAAUUCUCGCCUGCAUUAUUUGGUUGCUACAACAACUCGUAAUAUGCUCAUUAGAUAUUCCUCGCUAGUCGCUAGCUUACAUGAAAUGGAAAAGCCGCCCUUUUUUUUUCUUUCCUGGUUCUUAAAAAAUCAGCCGUUCUGGGAACCAACCAGAUGGUAACAUUUGUUUCAUUUUUCGUACGGCUAAAAACAUGUUUUGAUUUUAGUUGUAUCGAGAGAGAGAGGGAGAGAGGAAGCGAACCCGAGAAUUUCCACCAAGCAGCCCGACAGAAAGGGGGAUGCUGAGGAAUAUGCCAGCCAGAAUUCUGAUUCCAUCUGGCAAAUUAUUUUUGAUUGUUUCCUGUCGAAGGCUUCUAUUAUUAUUCUCGACACCAUUUCUCCUCUCAUCUGAGCUUGAGCAUGGUUCAGUGGCUGCAAGUGGAGGUUCAAAUUUCACUGCAGAGAAAAAAAUUUAAAAGUAGUGUUCAAUCACUUUUUUGAUCUAUUACAUCUCUUAGUUCUUAAUACAAGUCUCUUUAGAUUUUCCUUCUCCUAUAAAUUAAGAUAAAAUAAAUUAUAUAAUUAUUAUUGUUGCCCUGAAAAAGAAAAAAAAAAAAAAAGAAGCUACUUACUAUGAAUGAGAAUGAUACUCCCCUGCCAAUUUGUCAUUUCUUAGGAAUGCAAUAUGAGACUCCUUUUCCUCUCAAGCCUCGGUGAAACCGUGCACCGGACUGCGACUUUAGGACCUUCUUUGAUUACUUGACAAACACUGCUACAUUAGACAAUUACUAUUUGUUCUCUUUUGCUUCCUUCCAUUGACUUGUACACUUAAACUGUCAUAAUGAUUAAAAAUUUUUAUUAAAAAAAAAAACCAUUCUUCACCUUCCUUUUAACGAACAAAACAAAAACUAGAUCAAGAAUUCAGAACAGAACACUACAGUCUCUUAACCAUAUUCAUUUGCUGCAGCACACAGGUUUUCCCUCUACAAUGCUCAAGAUACCAACAAGUCUGCAAAAUGCUUUGAAGGUUUACAUUAUUCUUAUUAAUAAUACCAGCCAUGUACAUUCCUCGCUGUCAUAUAUCAUGCACCAUUCACAUUCAUAUUCACAUCUCUCUCUCUUGCUGAAUCUAUCGUCUUCCAGCUUUGUAUUCGGAAUAUUGAAACCUCCAGUUAGGGAUGCAAACGAAUCGAGCCGCUCGCGAGCAGCUCGAGUCGAGCUUGAAUCGAGCCGCUCGAUCGACUUGAGCUCGAGCUGGUCGAGCCAGAGUCAAGCUCGAACUCAAAACAUUAAACUCGUUAGCUCACGAGCCGGCUCGCGAGCUCGAGUAUAUAUAUUUAUUUAUUUAUUUUUAAUAGUAAAAUUACAUAAAUAUUCUUAAUAUUUUAUUAUUUAUUAAGAAAAAAUAUUAUUUUAUUUAUUUUUUUAAAAAUAAAAUAAUUAUUUUUUAUUUUUUUCGAGCUCGAGCUUGAAAAUUACCAGCUCGUCGAGCUCGAGCUCGAGUUCGAAUUCGAUGAAAUUAAGUCAAGACUCGACUCGAUAAGGCCAGAGCUCAACUCGGUUCAGCUCGUUUGCAGCCCUAACCUCCAGCAAACUAAAGAAGAAGAAAAAGAAAUGAAAAGCUUUACGAAAAGGGGGUCCAUGUUUCCAGAUAUUCUGUCACUAGAAACUAUCGUUGCAAAUAAAAUUGGAGGGAAGAAAAUAACUCCCGACAGAUAUUACAACUAGGAGGCAUGAACGCGCUUCGCGCGAUAGAAAUAUAAAAUGCCCUGUCCAGUUUUGAAGUAAUAAAAAUAACAAUUUAUUUAGAAAAGUAUAUUUUUUAGCAUAGUUAUUCCACAAGUUAAGUUUUGUUGAUACUUUUUGGCCGUUUCUCACAAAGCGUCUAGUCAAUGGCAACCGUCAACUUGCAUUUUUUGCAAAACCAUUUCUGGUGCAAAAAUGGAACCAAUGUAGUAUAUAAUACAGAGCAAGAAAAGAAAGAGCAUCCCACGAGUUGGUUAUUUACUGAUUGAGAAACUUUUGUGGCCUAUAAUAGCAAACACAAUUGGAAUUAAACAAGCCUAUAAUGUGGUCUAAUAGACUACAAUCUUAAGCAUCCAUUCAACACUAUAUCAAAGUUUCACGAUGACAACUGUUUGAGGGGGCCUAUACAGAACGUGAAAUUAUGAAUCUCUUAAAGACUGUAUUCACCUCUUCAGCCAGUGACAGGAACUUUUGAGACUCAUCAGAAGCAUAACCAGAAGAACCUAGAACUAACAUUCCCGGAGCAAAACAUGCUAAAUCAUCCAUCUGCAUAUAAUUUUGAAAGACAAAUACUAUAAAUUAAUAAUUACUCCUCCACAAAACAAUUAGGAUAUUUAAUCUUGCAAGUUCACACCUCACCUUGUCAGUUAGGGAAUUUCCAAUCUUUUCACAGAUAUAUGCAAAGGAUGAAGGGGUAGUUCUCUUAACCAAGCUUGAAAGACCUUUCAUUGAUGUCUCCCACAUUUUUCUGCUUGCAGAUUCAUGAGAAGAGUUACUUCUCCAGGAUAUUCUAAGUUUAUCUCAAAGUGUGAAAAAGAACUUAAGACAGCAAAGUAAAGAAAUCUACUCCAUGCUCAACAACAAUGCAAUAAGCAAUAUGUACAUUAAACUUCAAUGUCAUUAGUCUCUCGCUUUGAGCUCAUAAUACAUUUUUCUAAUCCCAUAUACGUGACUUUUCUUUUACCUAUAUUUUCUCAGGAUAGCUGACACACUUUGAUACAAGUCUAUAUAUAUAUAGACAUACAUACACACACACACACACACACACAAACAUUAAAAUAGAAAUGUGAAUGCUUUGCAGAAAGUAUGCCUUUUGGGAAAAGAUCGAUAUAUCUAAGGAAAGAAAUGCCAAUGUUUACCUGUAAUGAUUUACAGAAGCAGUUUUGUUUCCUUGUAUCCACACCUUGAGUAAAUAUUCAUAAAAGUUGCCAAAAGAAGAGCUUUUACCAUUAUUCAAAUUACAAAAAAUACAAAGUAAAGAAAAGAAAAAAGUAUAUUUUCAAAGCCAUGGAAAUGAGAUAUACAGGAGGAUAAUUUUGAAGGGACCUAAAUGAAAAACAAAUGCUAUCUAUAGAUUAUGAGAUAAUUACAAAGCAAGUACUGCUAAGGAAUGUAAACAUAUUGAAUAGAUUGUAUCUGUCCCCCAUAGCCCCAGAAGUGAUGGUAGAAUAGGAUGUUGUGCCCCUAUGGGGAUUAACAUAGAUGGGAAGCAAACCAUCAGUAGGAAAGGUCCUUCUAAGAAAUAAAAUAACAUUCUCCACCUGAAAGUAAUGGAUAUGAAUCAUCAGCUGUCUGUCAGAAACUUAUUGGGAAAAAAAAGGUCUAUCCUUAUCUAACUCAGCCAAAAUUCUCUCUUGUUCGAGCACUAUAAAAUCUUAAUAUACACUUUGACUAUUAAAACUUUCAUAAAAUGUUCAUCUCUUUUGUCUCUCUCAGACGCACAGAAGAAGGAAAAGGGGGAAUGAGCGAGCGAAUUACUUGAAAGUGUAAGGAGCUAGUUUUUGGAUACCUUCUGCCGAUACUUUGGGUUUCCAAUCCUUUGAGAAAGAGUAAUAAACUCUAGCUGCUCUGUACCAGAAUCAGCUAAAAUACUAUCAACCUGAGAAAAGGUAAAGUUUUACACAAUUUGUCAUACAUAUGUAUACUCAAGGCAUAGACAUGACAAUGAGCAGAGACAAUGCAAGUAGUUCAUGCAGAGAAGUAGAAAUACAGAAGUUGAUUGGGAGAUACAUGAUUUCAAUGUAAAGAAAGCCAGGAUUAAUAAGAGCAAUGUAAAGCUCAAUUGCCAUUAUAUAAUUGUGAAGAAUCAGGGAAUAUUUAGAUAAUUAUUGUGGCAGGUAUUGCUAUUAUUAUAUCGUGCAGCUGAGUCUUGAAAGGGCCCACAACAAUUUUGUUUUGCUUAAAAGUAUAGCAAAAGUCACAGUUGGACAAUGAACUUGAGUCUAAAUGUUUCAUGAAACAGAAAACAAAUUAACAUAUGUAUCAACUUACACCAGUCGAUCUGGGAUUAUGCGGAUUCCCAUGAGCCAAGCUAAUAACGUUAUAAGGAAUGCCAGAAGGUGUGUCCUAUGUAGGCAGUAGCCUAUCCGCAAUAUCCUGAGCCUUUUCAAGGAAAACCUUAUCCCCAGACAGAUUAUAUGCACUGAGAAGUCCUCCUACCACUCUGGAUUUUGUUAUGAAAAAUUCAUAAGUAACCACCAGUUAUAUGAAUAUCUUGUCUACCUCCAUUUAAAAAGUUGACAAGAAUUUCAGAUGUUAAAACUUAUACAAAGGAAAAGAUGAAAACACAAACCUAAAACACACGAAACAUUAAACCUUAUAAAACAACCUUAUGGUUGUUUCAAACACACUUGCAUCAUAGUUUUUGUUAAAAUCCAAGGAAUUUACAACCCACUUGCCACCAAAUGACCAGAUAAGAUUAGAUAGGAAAAAUGGAUAAGCAAAUACUUACCGAUUAAAGACACUUUGCAAUUAAAAGAUCACCUUACUACAGUGAAACUUUCAGGAGGGGGGAGGGAAAGCAAAUUUGGACAAAGAUAGUGACAACUUAUACGUGUGUGAACAAAGAUAUAGCAAUCAUUUUUUAACAUGGUGACUACAGAAAAACUAAACAGCAAGUGGAAAUUCUACGACAUUGCUGCUAAUCUUCAAUGAAGAAAAAGUCAACAAGCAAAAUUUACAUUUAUGCAAGUGGCUCAAAUGUCUUAACUUGUUUUACACUGCCAACUUCAUUUUCUUUCUUGAAAUUAAAGCAUAAAGGGUUUUGGACAGAAAUCAAAUCCAGCACCGUGGCUAUACCAAAACGAAAAAAUGCCAAGUAUGGUUGUCUUCAAAUUGGUGUAAUUCCUACCUUCUUAACCCAUACAAAACCUUCAACUCUACAUCCUCCUACUGAGAGCGCAGGUCUUUUUGGAUCUUUUGUCUUGUCAGAUUUAUCCUCUAAAGCAAGUCUUUUAGACUCUAGUGAAACAGAUGCAACCAAAGUUUCCAUUGUCUGCAAAUAAUUAAAAAACCCAGUAAUGCCACAUAUAUAAUAGGUGACAACAUCAACACCUAUGCAGGACUACACAAUUCAAUCAUAGGUUUCUAGUAUAGAAAAAUGAUAUCAACUGCAUUGAUAGAUGUGCAGAGUCAUGCUACAUAUACAUUUUCCUUUUCCUUUAUUUAUUUAAUUUUUGUUUUGUUCUUUUACUUCCUUGCUUUACUUCACCUUAUUUUUGCCUUUCCCGUUUAAAACUUUGGGCAUGCAACUCAAUAUUGUUUCUUACCUGGACCAGACUUUCAAUGUCUUGAUCGCCAAAAUAUGAUUCAUGCUCAUGAUGCCCAUGUUCAUCCUUAUAUUAAAACAGACAACAAACUUCUGAUUUGAAUACAGCAAAUUCAAAUAUUACAUAAGGUCAUUAUAAAUGAAAAUUUCUUCUACUUAAAGCUAAAGAAGAGAAAAGUUUGCACUACAGAAGGAAAUUUUUAAUGAGAAAGUUCAGAUUAACCAAGACAAACAUAUAAUAAGCAAACAGUUUUUAACAGGCAACAAAGGUCAAAGAAUCAAAUUUGUACAAAGAUAGUGACAACUUAUACAUGUGUGAACAAAGAUAGCAAAGAAGGUUUAAUACAGAGAAAAAAUAAAAUUAUGGACCAACAUUCAUAUUAGUGUCAUACAGCAGCCUAGCAGAUAUUGCGCAUAGUCCACUUUAUGUCUAGGACUCUUUCCACCGAAUCUAAUAAUGCAAGUAUUAUCAAAUUAUAUUCAACUUUAAUGUCAACGAAAAGGAGAACAAGGUAUAAAAAAUGAAACUGAAACAUUAGAAAAUUUCCAACAGGAAUAUUGCAAGCAAAUUCCAAGUAUGAAGCUAUUGGACAAGGCCAACAAAUCAUAAGUAAGGAUGACAAAAGGAGAAUUUUAAAAAAAAAACUUCUUGAGCAGUUCUCCAUUAAUUUUUUUUAGUCCAAGAGAGAUUUUAAGAUCUUACAAGAAGAAAAGAGAAAUGGAGAAUUAAACUAGUAAUAUAGGCAGCUACCUUCUUUUCAUUAUUUCUUCGGCUGUCUUGAAGUCAUUGCAAAAAGCUUCUAUCCACAACCGUUACGCCAAACAUCUCGAUCAGGCACACCUUCAGUAAAAUAAUUUUGCCCUCCUGAAGCAGCCUCAGUCAAAUCUGGAUCUGGAUCUAUAUCAGAAUUUGGAUGUUUAAGGUCCAAAAUUGCUGCUGCAGAGCCAUCACCUAAGCGGAUCCUGUGAAAAACCAAAAAAAUUAUUUUUGGAUGGCCGACUAUGGUAGCCACCAAGGAGCCCAGGACAAGGGGCGGAAAAAAUACGAACUCCAGAGGAGGGGGAGGAAAACAGGAAGCUUACAGAAAAGAUCGGAGUUCACUGGAAAGUAAGAAGGAGAAAGCUCGCGACGAAGGAGGAGGAAAAGUGAACGAACGGCACAAGAUCUGGACCGAUGCAAACAACAGCGAAGGCGGUAGCUCCUUGGGCGGUAAGAAGACAAUGGAAUUGGCAGAACGGAAUACCACACCGCAACAAAGCUUUGUACCAGUCAGGAGAGCACGCGGAUAAGUGACAGAGCAACAUUGUUGUGAGAAAAAAAAGGAAGAGAAAGGGAAAAGAAUGACAGAAGAAAGAGAGAGAAAGCAGCUGCAGAGGGAAGGCAGCGAGAAGAGAGAAUGCAGCAGAAGCACAUGGGAUACUGGCAGCGAGGCCAGGUGGGAAGCUAACGCGCGAGGCGCGAAGGACUGAAUGCUUCCAAUCCACAUGCCGGGCACGUCAGAGGACGACGAAAGUUUUGGCUGAAUUCUGUUGGGAUGUUAUCUACUUAUUAUGCUGAUAACAUGGCCAUGUCAACUAAUGGAACUACACAAAGCCGUAUUCAUGGGCCCUCUUUCGGCUCUAGCGCAGCAAUUUCUCUGACAACUUGGGCUUUGUCAGCCUCAAACUGUUCAUCCUCUGCACCAAGACGCAAACAACUAGAAUUAGAAUGCACUAAACCCAAUAAGCUCUAGGAGAGGGUAAACCGUACAUGUUUGUUCUCUCUUACCUUUAUCCAACUUGAAAUCAGCAAAGAGGCGCAGAAGUUUGCUUCUAUUUGCCACAAGGAUGCUAACGAUAUCUGGGGGCUUAUGUUGAUUGGCAGCGAAUAACUGUGGGACAAAAAUUGCAUCUUUGGUCAGGAAGAACCAACACCAACCUGGUCUUGAUUUCUUGGCAAAGCAUAUACCAGGGUGGUUGAGAUACGAAGCAAUACCUUAAAAACAUGAAAUGCUUCAAUCUGAAUGCUCUUGCUGGAUUCCUGCCAGAGAACAAGUGUUUGUUCAGUAUGGAACAACAGAUGUAACAGAUCAAAAGAGAUAAAAGAACAAAAUAUAGUUCACCGUCUACAACGGCAAGGGGCAAGAAAGGAAGAAAAGGGAGUUUGGUGAAUGACACAUUCAAAGUACAAUAAGAUUUGACCUUAGCCAAUAUCUAUCUAUUCGUUUAGAAUAAUUUCUUUAUUACAUUGUUGCAGUAAGAUGAUCUUCGGACUAUUUCAAUAUCUUUAUCUAUGCCAAGGAGAGAGAGAGACAGAGAGGCCCAACCAAAUGGUAUUUCUCAAUCAAGAGGAGAAAACAUACUCUAAGAAGAUUCAUUAGAAUCCCCAAGUUGUCUCUUGAGCUAACAUAUCGAGUCAUGACAGCUGAAUUUGAGCGGUCAAGCAGCAUAUCCCCCAGCAACUGUGACCACCAAAAGAAUAAUUGUCUUAAACAAUAACUUUUCAAACAGAAAUAAUAAUAAUAAUAAUAAUAAAUGCUGGACUAAAACAAUAAAUUACAAUCAUCCUAUGAACGCCUAAAUUUUCUUUGGCUGAUAGGAUAAAAGAAGGCCAAAUGGACAGAAUAAAUGCAUCAAAUGCAUGUGCCAUGGUAUAGCUCUUCAGUUCACUUGAGUAAGAGAAUGCAAACUAAAGAAUUAAAAUUUUGGAACUCUUAAUAACAGAGAGACUCGCACUUCAAAAAGAAUGGAGAGAAACCCCUGAACACAAAUUUACUACAAGAUGGCCUUCAUUUUCUUCUGUAUGCCUGGCUUUUAGAAAUUUUAACAACUAUAAUUCCAAUCCUUUUCUCAAUAUUCCUCCUAGUUUGAAAAAAAAUCCUUUGAGAGGUUCCCAUCUGAGAUUUUUCCCGAAUUGGCAACCCCGGAUGCACCAAGUACUGUAGCAGAGACAGAAUUUGCAUGUCUGACAUACUGGUAAACAGUCAGCAUCAACUUCACAUCUUGGAAGAGGUUCCCAUACCGCUGUUGAAUGAAUCAUUAUUGUUGUUAUUAUUCGAUAAUAAUAUUAAGUACAUAAAUUUUCUGCCACGUGUAGGAAAAAAUAAUCUCAGCUGGUAGGGAAGAAUAAGUUUUGUGUUUUGCCUAGUAUUUUUCCAAGUCCUACAAGAAUUUCAUUUCCAGGUGGUUACCUAAAUCUCUAACGAAAAGGAGUCUUAAUUCCAUUCCCAAUAUUAACGCAAGGGAAAAGGAAACCAUUAGGUGAGAUCGAUUUCCCAAUCUUAGACUGACUCGGUGCGGAAGAAAAAUAAAAUAAAAUAAACGUUACCAUAAUCUGAAUUAAGAAGGUUAUUCUAAAACGACUGAAAAUUGGUAGUAUUUCCUUUUCCAACACGGUCACAGAAAUUGGCGCUCCAUAGUCUAUAUAUAAGAGGCCAUCAAGCCCUCUUCGACAUUAAGAUUAUAGCUAUCGAGCCCCCAGCACUUUAGAAGUUUUAACCCGCGAAUUCAUUCAGGUAAUCUCUCUAUUCUUCGAAUCUUUAAUCUUCAAUCUUCAUGCGCCUUGCCUUGCUUCUCACUUUGGAUUUUAUCAAUUCUACGAGAAGCCUCAUUAGUAUAAUGUAGCAGGAAGUUGUUUAUAGUACGAUUGUAGUUGAAGUUGGAGAUAUUAAGGGUUGAAAAGGGCAGUUUGUUGAAACAUAAAUCUACUUAUUAUAUAAGAAAGAAGUGAGAUUGCUGUAGCAAUCUCUAUGGCUGCCAAGUGGCGCCCAUCUACUUUGACACAUGGCUCAUUAAUCUUUUGAGUAAGUUAUCUUUAUUUUUUUUUCCUUUUUCUUUUGGCUUUUAUUUUCCCCUCAUUUCCUCCUUUCCUUUUGGCAAAAGACAACCACAAGAACCCUCAUCCUCAUCUACACUAUCACUUGCAUACUCAAUUUUCACUCUGUAUUCUUUUCAUUUUUUUUUCUUUUUUUCCUUCAUCCUAAAUUUUUUACUCUUUUUUUUUCUAUUAAAUUAGUUGAUGCAUUUUUUUUUCAAUUUUUCCAUAAUUAACUAAAUGAAUGGUUUUUGUUGUUGGAGUGGAUGAGGGAAGAUAGCAAAUUUUAUUGAGUGAAGAUAACAAAUUUUUCUCAACUUAUAUUCAUUCCAAUUUUAGUUUUCAUUUAUUAAAAUUGUUAUUUGAUAAUAGACUAAUAGUGCUAGGAUGGAUGAGGAAUAAUUUGACAAGUGAAGAUCCAAGGUGAAUGAUGGCUGCCAAAUGGCUCCUAUCUACUUUGACAUGCGGCUCAUUAAUCCUUUGAGGAAACUAUUUUUUUUCCCUUUUUCUUGUGUUUUUCUUUUUUCCCCUCAUUUCCUCUUUCCUUUCUGGCAAAGACAACCACAAGAACCCUCAUCCUCAUCUACACUAUCAUUUGCAUGCUCAAUUUUCACUCUGUACUCUUUUCAUUUUUUUCUCUUUUUUUUUCCUUCACCUUAAUCAUUUACUCUUUUUUUUAUAUUGAAUUAGUUGAUGCAUUUUUUUUCAAUUUUUCUAUAAUUAACUAAAUGAAUGGGUUUUGUUGUUUGAGUGGAUGAGGGAAGAUAGCAAUUUUUGUUGAGGGAAGAUAACAAUUUUUCCUCAACUUAUUUUCAUUCCUAUUUUAGUUUUCAUUUAUUAAAAUGGUUAUUUGACAAUAGGCCAAUAGUGCUGGGAUGGAGGAGGAAGAAUUUGACAAGUGAAGAUCGAAGGUGAAUGAUGACUCUGAAGGAAAUAGAGAGGUCUAUUGAAUUUAAAAUUAAUCAAAAUCUCUUAAUUUAUAGAUAGAUAAUUAUAUUUCCAUAUUUUGAUUUAUUUAAAGUUUCUUAAUGGUGAAAAAUGGUUAUUUAUUAGAUGAGAAGGAUGAUAUGUAAAGGAAUUGUCGGGGCUAGCAAUUUAGGAUAUGAAUAAAAUAUUUCGUAUAAUCUCUUCAUUUUAGGUUACUGACUUGUAUCCAUGACAAGUGGUUUAUUUUCAUUGCAUGAUAGUUUGAGAAGAAAAAAAAGUGUAAAACUAGAUUUUAAAAUCAUUUGCUUAAGUUGGUUCUAUGAAUUUGUAUUUUUAUAUAAGCUAGAUGUGGAACUCGAUAUAUCAUGACUAUUUGGCUAAAGGAGUUGAUAAAUUUUUGUAAACUCAAGUAGUUGAAUUGAUUAUUGUUGUUAAGGAAUUGCAAUUGGUGGUGGAAGUCAAAAUUGUGACUUUUAGCCUAGAGUGUGAUUCGACAAAAAAAUUGUAAAAAAAUUCAAUCUUGAUUAAGAAGACAUUUUUACAAUCAAACAAAUGGUUUGUUUCGAAUUUGUAUAUGUACAUUUGCAAACAUGGCAGUACAUAUUUUUAUCUAAUAUUGUUAUUUGUAUCCUCAAGCUUUUUGGCAAAUAAUGUUAUCACCUGUUGUAAUGCUAUUAAAAAGGAUUUAAAUGGAUGGAUUAACAACUCAUUUUUUCUUUGAAAAAGACAAAAAAACCAAUGUGUAGGUUUGUAUGUUUUGAAAAGGAUAGAAAAAUGUGCAAGUUUGUAUCUUUUAUUGAUGUUGAAAAUUGUGACAAAUUUUGGUGAUUUUCUAAACCUUUUCUAAUUAUUAAAGUGCUAGAAGUAUUAUGACUACUUUUGGUUUAGUCACAAUUAAAGUAUGCUGCUAUUAAAUUGAUAAUAUAGUGUACUUAUUAUCUCUCCUUUUUUUGGUAUUAUUAUGCACACAUAGUAUUGGUUCAAAAAUCUUUAUUUCAUAAACGAAAUUUUUCUUCACAGCAAAUUUUAAUUGUUUUGAUGCUCAAAUUUUCUCCUAUAUUUACCAAAAAGAUAUAUUGCUUUAUGUUUAACUACACUUCUAAGGGGCACAGGCCGUGCAAAUGCCUCUAGUCGAAGUAUACUCGUUGAAGUACAUAUAAUAUGAAUGACUUCUGAUGAUCUUUGACGGGUGCCCCAUCUCCAACAAAACUUGGAACCGUGUUUCCUUUUCAAUUGCAAACCCCUCACCAAACUAGCUAACUACUCUUGCCCCACCAGUCUCCUAUAUUAAGACUCUCUCUUCCAAGUCUUUCCCUUCAAUCUUCCCUUCUCUCCAAUGCAAGCACUACUUAUAUUUCUCGCACUAAUUAUCUUUCUGAUCAACAGGCUAAUUGACAAAGAUGGGUGCAACAAGAAGAUGCAUGGUGAUUCUUGGCGUCCUGUUUGCUCUGUUUCUGUCGUCCACUUCUGCACAGUCAUGUUCAAAGUACAACUUUGCCAGCAAUAAAGUUUUCAGUGCCUGCAGCGAUCUUCCAUAUUUGAACUCCUAUCUUCAUUGGACGUACAGCCCAUCUUCCCAGAGUCUUGAGAUAGCGUUUAGGCGCUUGGGAACAUCAUCAUCAAGAUGGGUUUCUUGGGCUAUUAAUCCAACUUCUCAAGGAAUGGUGGGAUCACAAGCACUCGUGGCUUUCCAGAAAUCUGAUGGAACCAUGAGAGCCUACACUUCGCCUAUAAAAAGUUACCAGACGGGAUUACAAGAAGGAGAUUUGAGCUUCCCAGUUUCGGAUUUAUCUGCUACUUAUUCGAAUAAUGAGAUGAUCGUUUAUGCUACCUUGAAGCUGCAGAAUUCGAGCUCUACUCUGAACCAGGUGUGGCAAGAAGGUCCACUCUCAAACGACAGUCCUGGAAUGCAUCCCACCACUGGUCCUAAUGUCCAAUCCAUGGGCACUCUCAACCUACUUUCUGGAGAAUCUAAGACCCCAGCAGGAGCCUCAAGUUCAAAACUCAAGGCUAAGAAUGCAAGUCCUUUAAUCGUUUUUCCCUUUCUUUCUUGAGUUCGUGAUUAUAUAUCUUUUCUUUCCCCCAAAAAAAAAUAUAUAAAGACUUGUAGAUAGAUGGACAUUCCUUGAAUCUAUUUAGCAUGUUAUUUGUAAAGAAAAAGUUAAUCAUGAUAUUGCUGACCCAAUCCGCUUUUUGAUAUGUUUCAGAUUCAUGGGGUGCUGAACGCAGUGAGUUUGGGAAUUCUGAUACCUCUGGGGGCUAUAAUCGCAAGAUACGUUAAGGAAUUUCCUUUGGCGGACCCUGCUUGGUUUUACCUUCAUGUUACCUGCCAAUUAUCGGCCUUCAUCCUUGGCGUGGCCGGAUUUGGUGCUGGGCGCCGCCUGGGGAGCCAGUCUCCAGGAAUCACGUACGCAGUCCACAGGGGCCUUGGCAUUGCUCUCUUUACCCUGGCAUUGGUUCAGGUGAGUGCUUUGCUUAUAAGGCCGAAGAAGGAUCACAAGUGGAGAAGCUACUGGAAUUGCUACCACUACCUGGUCGGAUACGGAAUUCUCGGCAUCAGCAUCGCCAACAUUUCCAAAGGAUUGGAUAUCCUGAGCCCGGAGAAGAAAUGGAAAAGAGCAUACAUUGGCAUCUUGGUGACCCUGGCAUCUCUUGCCCUUCUCUUGGAAGUAAUUAUAUGGUUCCUGAAGAGGAGCAAGAGAUCAGCAGGUGCUGACAAGUGGUCCCACGGCACCAAUGGGACAAAUGGACUAAAUGGCUAUGGAGAAAGGAAGCCUGAGACAGUCUAGUUUACCAACUUGAGAUUUAUUCCUCCCUAUACAACUCUUUUCAUUUAGUGUUUUCCUUUUCGGUCGUACCUAUUUAUGCACCGCAUGUUGUGAUACCCCAAAUUUUAGGAUAUUAUUUUUGUUUAAUCUCAAAGAAAAGAUUAUGGUUUCUUUAUUUUAUUUUUAUUUUAAAACAUUAUUUUAUUUUAAAGACUAAAAACCCUACUUGUAUUUUAAAACCCUAGUUUACUUGUGACUAAUAGGUUGUGUUUAAAUCCCUCAUAUUUGACUGAAAACCCUAAUUUUAUUCUAUGAAAUUGUAAAAUUCAUCACAUUUUUUCUUAAAAUUCCCUUUUAUUUGAAAUACAUUACCUUAUUAUAGCUAUACUACUUAUUUACAUCCUCAAGGGUUGGAAUAAAGAAUAGAAUUAAGAGUUUUACGCUUAGUUUUAUAGUUCGGGUAAAUUAGAGUUUUCACGUAUUUUGGUAAUGCGAUUAAGUGUGGAGGGUUGUGUACUAAAUUUUGUAAUUAAGAGUGAGUUUUAGAUGAGAAAUAAUAUGAGAUUAGAAGUGAGAAUAAUAAGUUAGUAAAUUAUAAGUAAAACGCCUAGUACGUGCGAGUUAAGGAAAAACGGGUAGAACCGACAUGCACCGUUUGUUAUCGAGUGAGUGCACCAUGUGAACACCACUUUAUUACCUUAAUACCCUUGCUAUUAAUUGAGUUAAAUCAGCCCCAAAAUAUCUGAUAAAGCAGCCGAAAAGUUGGAAAAAAAAACAAGAGAGAGAAAAGAAAAUUUUGACCACCAAUUAAAUUGUGACAUGUGUUAAAUUUUGACCAAGCUUUUUUCUUGCUUUCUUAUCUUUCCUUGGGCUGCAUUUCUUCUUCAUUUUCUGCACAUUUGGCCGUGAAAGUGAGGAGAGAAAAGGAGAGAAAGAAACAUUUCAUUCCAUCUUAAUUUCUUACUCAAUCUUGCAAACUAACCGAUGGAUUUACCAAAUAAUCCAUGAAAAUUGCUUAGAAAGGUGGAUUGCUAUCUUGGAGUGGAGAGUUUUGGUGGUUCAAGCUUCCUAGAGGCUGUUGUGCUUCUCCAAUACUAGGUGAGGAAGGUAUUAGUUCAUGGUUGUACUACUUAAUAGUUUACAAGUGAAAGUUAUGGUUUGUUGGGUAGAUCUCAUGGUUUAGUAGUAGAUUUGGUCAAUUCCAGCUUUGUAGUGUAAAAUUUCAGCUUUGGGUUUGAAUGAUUUUCUUCUUAUACUUGCUGUAUGAAUGGUAUAUGAUAUAUAUAAGCUUGUAUAUGAGGUUGUAGUGCUGAUUUCAAGCUUAAAAUGAGAGUUAUACCUUGAAUGGAGCAAAUUUCCAGAAUAUCGGUUUCUUAUGCUUCAGUUCUGUCCUGUUUCAGUGCCCUAUGUUAGAGGCUGAAUUAGGCUUGGUACAAAACAUGAAAGUUGUAGAGAAUGAUAUUUUAUAGUAUUCUACAAAAUUUUAGCUCAAUCGGAGCAACGUAACCUAUGAAAAAACCGAAAUAUCCCUGCUGCCCUGUUUCUAUCCGAACAUACUAAUCAGCUUCUGUAAUUGGUUGUUUUGACCAGGAAUACUACUUAUUUGGAUGUUGAUGUCUUCUUAAGACUUAUAGCCUUAUAUCUUAGCUUUCAAAUGGAUUUAGAAUCACUUGAAUUGGAGUUGUAUAUUCUGAGAUAUGAUUGAAUGACUCAGGACUGCCAUAAUAAACUUCGAAUUGAAAAAUCUGGAGUUGUUUUGAUAAAUUUGACCUAGAUACAUUGCAAACUGGACUAAGUGGCCUUCUUCAACCUUGUAGCCCCUUGUCUUAGUUUCAAAAUGGUAUAAGUUGCACCUCAAUCCGAUAAGCGUAACCUCGGAUGUGCCCAUUCCGCAAAAAUCCGUUAAAACUGUCUUUUGUAAACUUCGUUUCCACACUUGUUAUUAGCUUAAAUUUUUGUCCUUGUAUUGUCCUAAGCAUAUUGAGUGGCUGUUUAUGUUGUGUGUAAUGUUGGGAUUGAUUGAGGAAAAUAAUAAAGCCAUAAAUGGCUGAAAAAUAGGUAAAUACAAAGGGGGUGCUGCCCAAAUUUUCGCUCGAGAACUAAUUUUCUAUUUGAACUUGUAUAUUUUCGUUUGGCAAAUACUAUGACCGUUUUUCCAUCUUAAAACGUGGUCAUUUUUCAAUUGGAAACUCCAAAUGUCUACUUACUCUUAUCAAAUAAAGAGAAGUGAUUUAGGGUUUUCUUGGGUACUUUGUUAUCCUUUUUACAUGAAUUUCAUUAAGACCUUUAGUUUAUAAAAUCUACUUGAAUAUGAGAUGAUUUUGAACCAUAUAAACGAUUCUGAAAACAGUAUUUCUUAGCCUAUCUAGUUGGAUUCCGACUUGUCUUUAGUUCAAGUGUUUUCAUUGAAAAAUUUUAUAAUCCUUUUGAGUUUGGUUUUACAUUUGGUCUACGAAACCCUAAUUAUUUUAUCUAAGGGUCUAAAUGUCCUGGUUUCACUUUAAAUACCUAAUUGUUUGUGCUGGAUGAGCUGUAAUAUUCUGUCUCGUUAACUUUAGGUUUUCUCGGUGACUAAGGAUAAUAUCCGGAAGGAAAUUUUGUAAGUUAUUUUGCGUACAUAGGUGAGUGUUCCUUAUUUGCUAUAUUAUUCUUGACUCCAUGACUUGUGUUAUUGUUUGAUAACGUGUUAAGUACUUUCCAUGAUUUUCGAAACAAGUUUUCUGGGCGAGUGUGUACUUCAUCGCACUCGACCUAAAUACAUAUGAACUUUUUCAUGAUUUAAUGAUUGAACAAAUGAUUAGUUAUGCAUGAAUGUAAGCCUUCUGGCUGAACUGGGCCCUGCCCUUCGUUACCGAUCGACUCGAGCCAGUAGCGGACUCGGUCGGGCGAUAUGGUGACCCUGGGUGUGAACGUCGGUAUACUCGAGUAUUACCUUGUAGUCCGGACAACGUCCGGAUGGGUGGAGCCUGACCAACGGCUGGGAAGGAAUGAACGAACGAAAGAACAAACGAGGGAUUUUACUUACAAAAAUGCAUUUUUAAACGAUUGGAGGAAUAAGGGGAAAUGUCAAGAGAAUGAACGAACAAACAAAUUGCUCAUUGUGAGCCGUAUCCUUUUAAUGAAUGUGUUACUAUCGCUUUCCAUUGUAAAUGUUUCUUGAAUUAUUGAUACUCCAUAUUUCAUGUAUUGAAAUGACUAUUUGAUUAUGUGUUCGGAAUCUCACUGAGCUCUUAACUUAUCUCUUUAGUUUUGUUUUCCUUAACAGGGGAAGGCAUGCAAGGAUGAGAGCUUAGUAUAGACUAGCUUGGUCUAACUCUUUGAUUUUGUAAUGGUUCUCGCCCUAGUGCUUGGCACGGGCUGAUUGUAUGGUGAAGUGAGAACCUUUGUACCUUUGAUGGUUGUAUUUUUUUUUGAGAUAGUAAUGUAUAUAUAAGUUUCACUUAAAUUUUGGAUUGUUGUAUGUUAUUUCUUUGGUUAUAUUCCGAAUUUGAUUAAGGAACGACUGAAUCCCGGCGAGAGUUGGGCAGGCGACCCGCCGAACCCUUUGGUACGCCUUAGGGGAAGGUAGGACCGUCACACAUGUAUAUUUUCCAACUCGACGGUAGGGGUUUUAAGAUGAGUUUAUGAUUUAGUAGUAGUAGAAUUUUAGAACUCCACGCCGAUAUGUAGGUACUAUUGUUUCUUGAAUGGCAUCUGCGGAUUUAUUUUUUUUUCGACGAUUAAAAUCUCUUAUCUAUAUGUGCCUUUUUUCCAUACUCUUAUUUCUGAUGAUCAAUAGGUGUCUGUGCUCUGUAGAAAAAGCAAUAGGCGUAUGAUGACACACUUCAUUAUUUGCAGAGACCCAGAAAUAUUGACAGACAGAGCAAAUUCUAAACGAUGUGCAAUUUCUUAAAAAAAGUACAGUAGCUUCGAAUCCUUGUAUAAAAAAGGAUACCUUAAUCGCUGCAUUAGCACAAGGGAGGAACUGAUGACAGAAAUUUGGUAAUGGUUUGCCGCCACCAAAUUCCAUGUCGUGACAUCAAUAGCUUAACUACCUACUCCGUCCGUCCUGUUGCAUAGAGUAGUUCGCGUUACGGUUGGUUUCAUUAAUCUACUUUAUUUGUCCCAGUCAAUUCGUCCACUUCCUGCAACAUGUGCUGAUAUCAAUAAUUUAAUUAUCAUAUUCUCAACCAUCCAUGAAAAAAAGCUUAACUUUUUAUGUUGAUCAGUUUCUAAUGCGAACCACAAAUUUAGGCCCUAAUUAUGCAACCAAUGCUAAAAUCAAGUAUCUUACGUUUUCUUGGGAAAAAAAAAAUGCCCACGAGAGUUUCCAAGAAACAAACUACAAUAGUGCAAAGAUGCACAUUCCGCGGCAUGGCUAUAAAAACAGCAAAGCGCAGAGAGGAGAGGCAGAAAAUACUCAAACAUAGAACUAGCAAUUUCUCAAGAGCCAUAAGCUUCAGAUAUCAAGAAAAAGCAUUUUUAGGAGCUCCAUCCAAUGUAGGGUGAACUUGGAACUAAGGUAGUCAUAUCAAUUGGACACUACAGCGCAUUUGGUGCAGCUAAUAUUUUGCAACUCAGUAAAACUGACUAGGCCAUUUUCCAGCUAAUUAGAGUGCUUCUAAAGCCUUUGAUGUGAACUGAAUAGAUGAAUAAUCUGUAAUUCUUCAUAAUAUAUAAGAAGGUGACUGUUACGGAACUGUUGUGGUAGCUCUCUGAGUUACCAUGUUUCUCUCAUUUGGAUUGCUGCAAUGCCUCAAUGAAGGCAUCCUUGAGAAGAGAAUUUGAAGCUGCUAUUCUUUGCGAGGUGAUAUCAAAAUCAGCACCAGACCUGCAGCAAAAGCAACAUGCAAUACUCAUAAAUAGCCUCUUAUCAUAUAUAUAAGUUAAAGCAAUUAUAAAAUUCAGUGCUAUUUCUACGGAUGCGACAUUUAGAGACUUGGCAUGUUUCAUUUUGGAACGACAUUCUGAACUCCAGAACUACUGGAUGAGCAGCAUGCAGAUCCAAUUCUUUUAAUAGACCAGGAAGAUGUCAGAAGUUCAGAGGACUUACGGAUCAAACAGAACACCUCCAGCUUCUUUAACAAUGAGAGCACCACCUGCCACAUCCCAAGGGCCUCCAUAUCCAAGUUCAUAAAAGAGAUCAAGCCUUCCACAUGCAAUACCACAGAGAUUUAAAGCACAGGAGCCACUCAUCCGAAGAGACCUCACCUGAUGUAUUGAGAAACAAGUAAUAUUAAUUAUGCAAUUUAAAAACUAUAUUUAAACUCCUGAUGGGCCCCAUCCAGAGGCAGCCAUGGUUUGGUUUGACCAGGCUGGGCGGGUCAUAUGGGUGUUGCAGCAGAACUCUAUCAUCUCAUGAAACCUAAUCCAAUUUACUACUACAAUCCUACAUCUGACGAUAGUCUUACGAAAGAGUUGUUACUACUAGUUCAUCUGUUAGUGGGUCAAGAUUCACCCGAGUCAAACUGCAAAGUGUGGUGGUUAGGACUGUUGGGAAUAAGGCAAUCCAUGUAAAACUGUUCUCCCUACUUCUUUUACAGUUGCAGUUCUUCUUCCGCAACAAUUAUUACUUGGUUUGACCUUCAAUUCUCCCCAAGCAUUAGGCAACGAUCAUUAUAUAUAUGUUGAGAAAAUGUGCAAGUCUUCUUAAAAAAAAAAAGAGGUGUGCAAAUACAGAGGGAAAUGUUGAGAAAAAAAAGGUUUCCUCAUGCAAAUCUCAUUCUGCUCUGCAGAAAGAAGCAUAAGUUCUGUGUUUUGCCCAGUGUUUUUCCAAGUCCUACAAGAAUUUCAUUUCCAGGUGGUUACCUAAAUCUCUAACCAAAAGGAGUCUUAAUUCCAUUCCCAAUCUUAGAGUGAUUCGGUGCGGAAGAAAAAUAAAAUAAAAUAAACGUUACCAUAAUCUGAAUGAAGAAGGUUAUUCUAAAACGACUAAAAAUUGGUAGUAUUUCCUUUUCCAACACGGUCACAGAAAUUGGCGCUCCAUAGUCUAUAUAUAAGAGGCCAUCCAGCCCUCUUCGACAUUAAGAUUACAGCUAUCGAGCCCCCUGCACUUUAGAAGUUUUCAUUCAGGUAAUCUCUCUAUUCUUCGAAUCUUCAAUCUUCAUGCGCCUUGCCUUGCUUCCCAGUUUGGAUUUUAUCAAUUCUACGAGAAGCCUCAUUAGUAUAAUGUAGCAGGAAGUUGUUUAUAGUACGAUUGUAGUUGAAGUUAGAGAUAUUAAGGGUUGAAAAAAAAAGGGCAGUUUGUUGAAACAUAAAUCGAAGUAUACUUGUUGAAGUACAUAUAAUAUGAAUGACUUCUGAUGAUCUUUGACAGGUGCCCCAUCUCCAACAAAACUUGGAACCAUGUUUCCUUUUCAAUUGCAAACCCCUCACCAAACUACCUAACUACUCUUGCCCCACCAGUCUCCUAUAUUAAGACUCCCUCUUCCAAGUCUUUCCCUUCAAUCUUCCCUUCUCUCCAACGCAAGCACUAGUUAUAUUUCUCGCACCAAUUAUCUUUCUGAUCAACAGGCUAAUUGACAAAGAUGGGUGCAACAAUGAGAUGCAUGGUGAUUCUUGGCGUCCUGUUUGCUCUGUUUAUGUCGUCCACUUCUGCGCAGUCAUGUUCAAAGUACAACUUUGCUAGCAAUAAAGUUUUCAGUGCCUGCAGCGAUCUUCCAUAUUUGAACUCCUAUCUUCAUUGGACGUACAGCCCAUCUUCCCAGAGUCUUGAGAUCGCGUUUAGGCGCUUGGGAACAUCAUCAUCAAGAUGGGUUUCUUGGGCUAUUAAUCCAACUUCUCAAGGGAUGGUGGGAUCACAAGCACUCGUGGCUUUCCAGAAAUCUGAUGGAACCAUGAGAGCCUACACUUCGCCUAUAAAAAGUUACCAGACGGGAUUACAAGAAGGAGAUUUGAGCUUCCCAGUUUCGGAUUUAUCUGCUACUUAUUCGAAUAACGAGAUGAUCGUUUAUGCUACCUUGAAGCUGCAGAAUUCCAGCUCUACUCUGAACCAGGUGUGGCAAGAAGGUCCACUCUCAAACGACAGCCCUGGAAUGCAUCCCACCACUGGUCCUAAUGUCCAAUCCAUGGGCACUCUCAACCUACUUUCUGGAGAAUCUAAGACCACAGCAGGAGCCUCAAGUUCAAAACUCAAGGCUAAGAAUGCAAGUCUUUGAAUCGUUUUUCCCUUUCUUUCUUGAGUUCGUGAUUAUAUAUCUUUACUUUCCCCCCAAAAAAAAAAUAUAAAGACUUGUAGAUAGAUAGACAUUCCUUGAAUCUAUUUAACAUGUUAUUUGUAAAGAAAAAGUUAAUCAUGAUAUUGCUGACCCAAUCCGCUUUUUGAUAUGUUUCAGAUUCAUGGGGUGCUGAACGCGGUGAGUUGGGGAAUUCUGAUGCCUCUGGGGGCUAUAAUCGCAAGAUACGUUAAGGAAUUUCCUUUGGCGGACCCUGCUUGGUUUUACCUUCAUGUUACCUGCCAAUUAUCGGCCUUCAUCCUUGGCGUGGCCGGAUUUGGUACUGGGCUCCGCCUGGGGAGCCAGUCUCCAGGAAUCACGUACGCAGUCCACAGGGGCCUUGGCAUUGCUCUCUUUACCCUGGCAUUGGUUCAGGCGAGUGCUUUGCUUAUAAGGCCGAAGAAGGAUCACAAGUGGAGAAGCUACUGGAAUUGCUACCACUACCUGGUCGGAUACGGAAUUCUCGGCAUCAGCAUCGCCAACAUUUUCAAAGGAUUGGAUAUCCUGAGCCCGGAGAAGAAAUGGAAAAGAGCAUACAUUGGCAUCUUGGUGACCCUGGCAUCUCUUGCCCUUCUCUUGGAAGUAAUUGUAUGGUUCCUGAAGAGGAGCAAGAGAUCUGCAGGUGCUGACAAGUUGAAGUCGUCCCACGGCACCAAUGGGACAAAUGGACUAAAUGGCUAUGGAGGAAGGAAGCCUGAGACAGUCUAGUUUACCAACUUGAGAUUUAUUCCUCCCUAUACAACUCUUUUCAUUUAGUGUUUUCCUUUUCGGUCGUACCUAUUUAUGCACCCGCAUGUAUAUUUUCCAACUCGACGGCAGAGGUUUUAAGAUGAGUUUAUGAUUUAGUAGUAGUAGAAUUUUAGAACUCCACGCCGAUAUGUAGGUACUAUUGUUUCUUGAAUGGCAUCUGCGGAUUUAUUAUUUUUUUUUCCCAUGAUUAAAAUCUCUUAUCUAUAUGUGUCUUUUUUCCAUAGUCUUAUUUCUGAUCAAUAGGUGUCUGUACUCUGUAGAAAAAGCAAUUGGUGUAUGAUGACACACAUCAUUAUUUGCAGAGACCUAGAAAUAUUGACAGACAGACAGCAAAUACUUUAUUUGUCCCAGUCAAUUCGUCCACUUCCUGCAACAUGUGCUGAUAUCAAUAAUUUAAUUAUCAUAUUCUCAACCAUCCAUGAAAAAAAGCUAACUUUUUAUGUUGAUUACUUUGCCCUAAUUAUGCAACCAAUGCUAAAAUCAAGUAUCUUACGUUUUCUUGGAAAAAAAAAAUGCCCACAAGAGUUUCCAAGAAACAAACUACAGUAGCGCAAAGAUGCACAUUCCGCGGCAUGGCUAUAAAAACAGCAAAGCGCAGAGAGGAGAGGCAGAAAAUACUCAAACAUAGAACUAGCAAUUUCUUAAGAGCCAUAAGCUUCAGAUAUCAAGAAAAAGCAUUUUUAGGAGCUCCAUCCAAUGUAGGGUGAACUUGGAACUAAGGUAGUCAUAUCAAUUGGACACUACAGCGCAUUUGGUGCAGCUAAUAUUUUGCAACUCAGUAAAACUGACUAGGCCAUUUUCCAGCUAAUUAGAGUGCCUCUAAAGCCUUUGACGUGAACUGAAUAGAUGAAUAAUCUGUAAUUCUUCAUAAUAUAUAAGAAGGUGACUGUUACGGAACUGUUGUGGUAGCUCUCUGAGUUACCACGUUUCUCUCAUUUGGAUUGCUGCAAUGCCUCAAUGAAGGCAUCCUUGAGAAGAGGAUUUGAAGCUGCUAUUCUUUGCGAGGUGAUAUCAAAAUCAGCACCAGACCUGCGGCAAAAGCAACAUGCAAUACUCAUAAAUAUCCUCUUAUCAUAUAUAUAAGUUAAAGCAAUUAUAAAAUUCAGUGCUAUAUCUACAGAUGCGACAUUUAGAGACUUGGCAUGUUUCAUUUUGGAACGACAUUCUGAACUCCAGAACCACUGGAUGAACAGCAUGCAGAUCCAAUUCUUUUAAUAGACCAGGAAGAUGUCAGAAGUUCGGAGGACUUACGGAUCAAACAGAACGCCUCCAGCUUCUUUAACAAUGAGAGCACCACCUGCCACAUCCCAAGGGCCUCCAUAUCCAAGUUCAUAAAAGAGAUCAAGCCUUCCACAUGCAAUACCACAGAGAUUUAAAGCACAGGAGCCACUCAUCCGAAGAGACCUCACCUGAUGUAUUGAGAAACAAGUAAUAUUAAUUAUGCAAUUUAAAAACUAUAUUUAAACUCCUGAUCCCAUUGCAAGGAUUUAUUUUACCUUGAACAGUAAACUGUUAAUUUUGUUGGUACAGGUGUCCACAGUUAGUUUAUCACGCUUUGUCCCAGCCUGCUUCCAGGAAUCAUUCAUUCAGUAGCUGGAAGCAAACUAAACAUCCACAAUUUAAGAUGAAUAAACUUUAUGCUAGUUUGUACUAUCUCAUAGAAUUCACACAUGAGAGAGAGAGUGAAGAAGGAUCAAAUGAAGUCAUCCACAAUCUGAUGCUGCUGGAUCAGAACCAAUGUCUCAAUGUUCCCAAAGGGCAAAGCUAUAGCGCUUUUUCGAGCUAGUUAUUCAAACAAGAAUGCUUAAUGCAAAUUUUAAAAGGGUAAAAGAAAUAGACAAGGCUCAUCAAAAACAUAAUCUGUUGCUGAAAAAAUGUCCAUGGUCUACAAGAACUUAAAUUAUUACCAAAAACUUCAUUCAAUGUUCUAUUUCUGCAUGCUUAUGAUACGUUCAUGUUGCUGAAGAAAGCUGGUGGUGUUCACAAGCAUAAAAUGAGGGAAGGCCUCAAUGUUGUAACCAGCAUACAUUCUUAAAAUGUGCUACAGCUGAUGGAUGAAGAGUUACCCAAUGGUUCCAUGAAAAAGAUACCAGUAUGUGUUUAGCUACGUAUAGCUGAAUACCUACCCCUGUAGCAAGAAGAGACUUCACGAGUUCAGACUGAGAAGACACUGCAUAUGAACAAAAGAAGUUACUGAGAGGUUUCAAGUUUGAAUAGCAUCAAAAUAUAGCACACUAAUUGCAGAACUAAACUUACCUUUUAUUGGUUUUCCAUUCAGAAAAGCUCCUUUCCCCUCUAUCCCAGUGAAAAGCUGCAAAGUAGAAGAAAGAGUUUUCUCAACUCAACCAGCAAUUUUUUUUUUAUUUAUUAUUAUUUUUUGGUGCCACAACUCAAUCAGCAUUUGUUGCUAUACAUCUAUUGGAUUUGCUAUUUGUGAGCAUGAUGAGCAUAAUUUUGGAAACCCACUAUCCACUGGAUAAAGGAACCCCAAUAGCAUGAAGGGAACAAGAAAACAGAAGCAUCGUGCUUAACAGGUUUGCAAGAUGGACUCAGGCAGACACUACAGAAAUUACUCAUGAAACAUUUCAAUUAUUUAAGACAGAUCCCUCUGGCUUUAUUUCUUAGCUUUCUACACAUGUACAUUUUCUCUAACAUUGAUAGUUCAAAUACCAAAACGAGUAGGUUUUUCGUAAUAAAAAACAGUGUCUCACCUCAUCUAUAAUGGGAUUGUAGACAACACCAACUGUUGGAACCUUUCCAAGUGUAAGACCAAUAGAAACGCACACAAAAGGGAACCUACGAGUCACCAUAUUAUCAAAGUAAAUUGCUUUAGUAACUUGCCAUAUAUCAGAAAGUCUGUCUCAAUAGCUAUGCUUAUUGGCAAGGCCAAAUUUUUACCCAUGCACAAAGUUUGUUGUUCCAUCGAGGGGAUCAACAAUCCAAGUUGGUUCAUCAGUUAGCUCUGUGACACCACAAGCAGCAGUAGUUUCUUCUCCAAUGAACUAGCAGGAGCAGAUUAUUAGAACAAAUAUUAGUGCAAAUGUCAUUAAAAAAAAACACAUCCUCAUCAAGCACAAUUCAAACUACACUGCCCAGCCCAAAACAAGGCAUACAGAAUAAUGACAGUUUACCUUGUGGCUUGGAAAAUGUUGCUUAAGGUGAUUGAAUAUGAGAUCUUCACAUGCUUUGUCAGUUUCGGUGACCAAAUCCACCUUCAUUGCAGGGAUGAUAGCGUGGAAGGUAAACAAUAACCAAUUGUCAUUGAGCCUUUAAAAAGAGAGUAAACUGUAUACACUAUUAUAGUUGUAUGUAUGACACAUGCAAAAUUUGGAUUUCAAAUUCAAAUUCGGAUUAUGUGUUAUGUAUCUAAUGAUGAAACUGUAUAUACUAUCAGUGUAUAGAAAAUUAGUCCUCAAAGAAAUGUAUAGGAAAAGUGCAGGGGAAAAAAAAACCGCACCACAUAUCACAUGCAAUUGUAAACAACUAAAAAUGGUCCUUGCUCUUAGAAUUUUGAACCUCCACGCCCCAUUGUAGCAAGCAUUGAACAUUUUGCCUUCAUGUGGGCAUCAAGAAACCACAUAUAUAAGCAUUCCAAAAUCCUGAAAAUCUUUGUUUUGUCGUCAUUGAACAAAUUUUCCCUUAUACCGUACCCAACUCCCAUUGGCGGAAACUACCAUUGAAUUUGAAUGUAGCGGAAACUACCCCCCCCCCCCCGGGCCAAAAAAAAAAAAUCAAUCUUUCCACCCACCGUUAAUCAAGUAAAAGCACAUUAGUCACAAUUAACGGCAAUCGGUCAAAUUUGAAAGUAUCAGCAACAAAAUCAAAAUCGAAAAAUUCCCCAGACUCGAAGACAUGAUCUCAAAAGUUUUGGCCUUUCACGCGAACUUCAAAGACAAAAAGGUGAACAUCAGCAGAACAGAGCUCAAUGAACUUCGAAGGGGAAACAAUAAAAGUUCACCACACCUGGCUUUUAUGCUCCACAUGCUUGGUCUGGUAGAACCCAUUACGAAUUAACUGUUAAGAUGAAAGAGAAAAAUGAAAAGUAAGGUAAACCCAAAAUGACAACCUUUUUGAAGAUGUUGAAGGCGAAAAAACCAUAAAAUAAAAGCCUAUCAAACAAAUUGAAGGGGGUGGGGGAGCUUAGGAAAUCAAUCAAGCAACUCAAGGGAAAAGCAACAAUGGAGAAAGCGUUAAACUUGAAAAGAAGAAAAUUGGUUGAAUGAGUGUGAGAGUAUUCAACCUCUCCAGCUUUCUUUGCUGCAUCCACUGCAACGGACAGGAAUUCCUCCACUGAUUUCAAUCAAGAAACGAAUUUUCAGUCCCAAGAAACAUGUUACAAACAGCGACGGUACAAUUUCCUUCACAAUCAAAUAACAGAUGCAUGCAAAAAAAGAGGAAAAGAAAUUCUAGAUGUGAAAACAUUAAUUGGGGUCCUACCAUUUUGGGCCAUUCUUCUCUCCUGGGGGAAAAUGGGAAAAAGAGGGCGACGCAGACGUGAAGAGAAAUGGAGUGGGUGGGGGUGCAGCGGGUUGGGGAUGAUGGACGGUUGGACGCGCUUUUAGAUCCCACUGGUACUCGUAAUUUGGCUGAUACCAAAACAAGGACUGCCGAUGCUUCGUUGCAUGGGGAGGAUGGAAUUGAAACAGGGCAGGCAGCCUCCAACUAUUUUGCUAAUAGUAGUAGCAGGGGGGUGUAAUUUAUAGGCAUUUUUUAUUUUAUUUUAUUUAUUUAUGGGACGACUGGUCACACUGAUUAGUACUAAAGCAAAUUGAUUAGUAGCAUUUUCACCUUAUUAGGUUUUAAAACAGUUCAAAUAAAAAAUGUUAUCUUAAAUACAGUUGAGAUGAGUCCGACUUGCCAAUUUUGAUUCCAAAUUCAACUUGAACCAAUUCUGCUUAUGAUUUUUGAAAUAACAAAACAAGUUUUGAUAUGAACUUUUAAUUAAAAAGGGUUGAACAUGAUGCUUUUUAAAAAAAAAAAAAAACAAAAAUAAAGGAAAAAGGAGGAUCAAUAGGGUUAAACAUGAUUGAAAGGUAGAUAGAUAUCCUUGCCUUGGAGAUCGGAGCGAAUGACAUUCUUGAAAAUUCUCGCCUGCAUUAUUUGGUUGCUACAACAACUGGUAAUAUGCUCAUUAGAUGUUCCUCGCUAGUCGCUAGCUUACAUGAAAUGGAAAAGCCGCCCUUUUUUUUUCUUUCCUGGUCCUUAAAAAAUCAGCCGUUCUGGAAACCAACCAGAUGGUAACAUUUGUUUCAAUUUUCGUACGGCUAAAAACAUGUUUUGAUUUUAGUUAGUUGUAUGGAGAGAGAGAGGGGAAGCGAACCCCAGAAUUUCCACCAAGCAGCCUGACAGAAAGGGAGAUGCUGAGGAAUAUGCCAGCCAGAAUUCUGAUUCCAUCUGGCGAAUUAUUUUGAUUGUUUCCUGUCGAAGGCUUCUAUUAUUAUUCUCGACACCAUUUCUCCUCUCAUCUGAAAGCUACUUACUAUUAACCACUGUGAAUGAGAAGCUACUUACUAUUAACCACUAUGAUACUCCCCCGUCAAUUUGUCAUUUCUUAGGAAUGCAAUAUGAGUCUCCUUUUCCUCUCAAGCCUCGGUGAAACCGUGCACCGGACUGCGACUUUAGGACCUUCUUUAAUUGCUCGACAAAUACUGCUACAUUAGACGAUUACUAUUUGUUCUCUUUUGCUUCCUUCCAUUGACUUGUACACUUAAACUGUCAUAAUGAUUAAAAUUUUUUAUUAAAAAAAAAAAACCAUUCUUCACCUUCCUUUUAAGGAACAAAACAAAAACUAGAUCAAGAAUUCAGAACAGAACACUACAGUUUCUAAACCAUAUUCAUUUGCUGCAGCACACAGGUUUUUCCUCUACAAUGCUCAAGAUACCAACAAGUCUGCAAAAUGCUUUGAAGGUUUACAUCAUUCUUAUUAAUAAUACCAGCCAUGUACAUUCCUCGCUGUCAUAUAUCAUGCACCAUUCACAUUCAUAUUCACAUCUCUCUCUCUUGCUGAAUCUAUCGUCUUCCAGCUUUGUAUCCGGAAUAUUGAAACCUCCAGCAAACUAAAGAAGAAGAAAAAGAAAUGAAAAGCUUUACGAAAAGGGGGUCCAUGUUUCCAGAUAUUCUGUCACUAGAAACUAUCGUUGCAAAUAAAAUAAAAUUGGAGGGAAGAAAAUAACUCCCGACAGAUAUUACAAUAACAUGGCCGUGUCAACUAAUGGAACUACACAAAAGCCGCAUUCAUGGGCCCUCUUUCGGCUCUAGCGCAGCAAUUUCUCUGACAACUUGGGCUUUGUCAGCCUCAAACUGUUCAUCCUCUGCACCAAGACGCAAACAACUAGAAUUAGAAUGCGCUAAACCCAAUAAGCUCCAGGAGAGGGUAAACCGUCCAUGUUUGUUCUCUCUCACCUUUAUCCAACUUGAAAUCAGCAAAGAGGCGCAGAAGUUUGCUUCUAUUUGCCACAAGGAUGCUAACGAUAUCUGGGGGCUUGUGUUGAUUGGCAGCGAAUAACUGUGGGACAAAAAUUGCAUUUUUGGUCAGGAAGAACCAACACCAACCUGGCCUUGAUUUCUUGGCAAAGCAUAUACCAGGGUGCUUGAGAUACGAAGCAAUACCUUAAAAACAUGAAAUGCUUCAAUCUGAAUGCUCUUGCUGGAUUCCUGCCAGAGAACAAGUGUUUGUUCAGUAUGGAACAACAGAUGUAACAGAUCAAAAGAGACAAAAGAACAAAAUAUAGUUCACCGUCUACAACGGCAAGGGGCAAGAAAGGAAGAAAAGGGAGUUUGGUGAAUGACACAUUCAAAGUACAAUAAGAUUUGACCUUAGCCAAUAUCUAUCUAUUCGUUUAGAACAAUUUCUUUAUUACAUUGUUGCAGUAAGAUGAUCUCCAGACUAUUUCAAUAUCUUUAUUUACGCCAAGAAGAGAGAGAGAGAGAGAGAGGCCCAACCAAAUGGUAUUUCUCAAUCAAGAGGAGAAAACAUACUCUAAGGAGAUUCAUUAGAAUCCUCAAGUUGUCUCUUGAGCUAACAUAUCGAGUCAUGACAGCUGAAUUUGAGCGGUCAAGCAGCAUAUCCCCCAGCAACUGUGACCACCAAAAGAAUAAUUGUCUUAAACAAUAACUUUUCAAACAGAAAUAAUAAUAAUAAUAAUAAUAAAUACUGGAAUAAAACGAUAAUUACAAUCAAUCCUAUGAACGCCUAAAUUUUCUUUGGCUGAUAGGAUAAAAGAAGGCCAAAUGGACAGAAUAAAUGCAUCAGAUGCAUGUGCCAUGGUAUAGCUCUUCAGUUCACUUGAGUAAGAGAAUGCAAACUAGAGAGUUAAAAUUUUGGAACUCUUAAUAACAGAGAGACUCGCACUUCAAAAAGAAUGGAGAGAAACCCCUGAACACAAAUUUACUACAAGAUGGCCCUCAUUUUCUCCUGUAUGCCUGGCUUUUAGAAAUUUUAACAACUAUAAUUCCAAUCCUUUUCUCAAUAUUCCUCCUAGUUUGAAAAAAAAAAAUGUUGAAAGGCAUAGAUUAAGGAACACUUAUGCAGAUGCCUUCAUUGGAAAACUACUACUCCUUGCAUCUCAAUAAACCGUUAAGUAAGCACAUACACCAUUUUCAAUCAACAUACAUAAAAUUGAAUGGACAGAAUUCUCUCAUAAUAUACGCCAUAGUGAAUAUGCAAAUCAAAUAUAUCACAGUAAGGCCCUACAGAAUGGCAGAAUUAACAUUUUAUUGUAAAUAAAUAUAUCAAAGACAAGAAACAAGACUGAGAAAUAGAAAUUAGAUAACCAUACAAGGUACAAUCACAAUCCAAACCCUACCUUGACAGCUUGCCUUCUGGUAAUGUAGUUUGGAGAUUCAAGCAGCUUUGAGUUAUAUUCAGCAAAAAACUGCAACCAUGAACAUUAAUCAGGAUCCAAAGCAUAGCUUGCCAUGGGAGUUUUUUUCUACAUAUUAAAGAAAAGAAAAGAGAAAGAAGAAGGUAACAUAGAUUGCUUAGCCAAAGAAUCAUGUUGCACACAGAAAGCAACAGAUGUAAUAAACCGAUACAAGUAUUGAUCAUUGGCAUCUUGUGAUAUCAGAUUUCACAUUAGAUACUGAAUAGCAGUCUACAAUUGCUCCAUAACAAAAUGUCAAUCCUUGCUAAGAAGAACCAUUAGGAACAACAACAAAUGGUCGACUGAGAUUAAUAUUCAAAAUAGGGGAAGCACAGAGAAAUGCUGAUUCAGUAUUUCAAUCAUCACAUUAUUUGUAAUCUAAACAACAGCUCCUAAACACAUUCAAGAACAUUAUUAGACGACCAAGUAGAAAAGCUUCCCAAGCAUGUCAAAGCAGCUACACAAGAAUCAUAUAAUAUCAUGCCAGAUCAACAACACGAGCAUCACAGGGUAGGGAGGUCCAGAAUUAACUGAAUAUCUUACAAAAAGUAGAAUUAACUGAAUAAGUAUUGUGAAUCCCUGAUGCCAAAACAUAAAUUAAACUAAUGCAAUAACAAAACUUUUAACAGCUAGACUUACAAAAUAUCCAAGAAAAUCUUUUUGUUGAAGCUCCAAAUAGGGUACAUUCGAUAUUUUUUAGACACACAGGCACACUGAGAGAGGGAGGGGGCAACAGAGAGAGAUAACAGAAUAUGCAUGCAGCAAGCCAAAAUCCUUUACCCAGUCAUAAUUCUUUGAAAGAAAUUCAGCUACAGUUGAUUUGUGCCUUGUCAAGAGUUCCUGCAAUGUGACGAACUUGUCAAACCUGAUGCUUGAUAAAUCCCAGAUGAAAUUACAAAUGAUUGCUAUCACUAGUCAAAGAGUGCACAGUUAUCACAAGACAACAGCAGAAUGGUGGAUUGCCAAUUGUGGAAAAAGAGUAAACAGCAUAAAAAUUAAGCAAAUGCUAUAGAAACUACUCUCCAAUUGCAAUCCCAGACAUAAAACUUGGUCAACAUUUCUUUUCCAACAUAAUUUUAUAGAAAAGACUAGCAAAGCACAUAGCUUGUAGCACCUUUCUACUUGAAGCAUUAGUAGGUACAUGAAGCUCAACCAGCAACAUAAAUAUUUACAAAUCACUUGAAGAAAUAAGAAGAACAAACUAUGGAAGGAAGGGAAACUAUCCUAAGCACAGCUUAUAUACAUUUGCUUUACACAUUAACAGGAAAAAGGACUUUCUGUAGUAAAACAGCUCUUGCGCUUUUAGUCAGAAGCACCUUACCUUGAAAGUUGCUGCAGCAUCAGCAGCAAUAUCGAAAUUUGGAAGUUGAAUAUAAUCAAAAAAUUUCUUCAUAUGCUCCGAUUCCAAGACAUACCUGUGAAUGAUGGCAAGUUUUAGAAUAUGGAAGUUAAAUAGGUAAAACAGCUCAUAAAGAAGAUUACUGUCAAAUAAUCAGAGCCAAAAACAGGAGGCAAACGUAUGGUGUUAUUUCCCUUUCCAAUACUUAAGCCCAAAAAUCAAAUAAGCAAAAUUACAACCAAAACAAAGAUUAACUUUCUGCACCUUGCAACAGUCUGAUGGCGUAUACAUUCUCUAAGCAUAGCACCAUAGUGUAAAGCCAUAUCUGUAUUCUCAUAACUGAAUAAUCCAACAUCAAAGAUGAAUGAGUUAAAUAACCCAAAAUAAGAAAAAAGACAAUAAUUCAACAAUGAGGGGAAACAAAAAACCCCACCUCUAGUAAGGUUAAGACACGGGGAACAGCCAAAAACACAUCUUCCAGAGAUGAUAUUUAGAAAGACAUAAAUGAAUGACUUUUAAGCUGUGUAAUUAGAAAGAAAGGCACUUUGCAUGAGAGCAAAUGUUUGCAACUUAAGAUGAUGCCAAUUAAAACUCAACUAUAUCAGUACCCAAUGUAAUGUACAUUUUAACUUGCUUUAUAUACUACACUGUACUGAGAUUCAGAGUUUCUUCUUCAUUACUUAAUUAUCACCCCCACGGUGGAAAAAAAAAAGAGCAAGAAAAUACUCCCAUCAGAAGUUGUUGUAGUAUUCUCUUUCUAUACAUAUAAAAGAUCACAUUCAUUUCACAAUUACAUGAGCUUGCUGAGUUCCAUCUCUCAUUGACUGGAACUCAUUAUUGAAAGUACAGCCAGAUAAAUGCAUAAUGACAUAUCAAACUCGACAUGAGAUAAAUUAUUUCCUCUCGCAACACAUGAUGUGGAUAAGUAACACAAUGACUUCUGUUCAAGAAUCUUGUGAAAAGCAUAUCAUUCUAAACCUAGAUUAAUCGGAUUAACAUUCCAAACGGUACUGAAACAAGAAAAGUGAAAUCCAGGGAUUCAUCAAAAUUCACUAAUACAACAUUCCGAAAGCUCUAAAACAGCUGCUUACCCGCCUAUCAAAAUAUCCAUCAAAUCUAUGUUUGCUUCCAAGUAAUCACAGGCAAUCAAUCGUGACUGGACCUGCUGCCUCUGCAGAUUUGCAACAACUUGAGUAACAUCCUUACGGGUCUGUGAAAGGAUAACCAUGUCAGAAUCAACAAUGAGCAGAAAUAAAAAGUAUCCAAAUUCCACUUCCAACGCACCUUAAAGCGAGAAUAGUGAAAAUAGGUGAUGAUGGUUGUCAUCACAAAUCAGCACUAAUUGGACAGAGUGGAUUUAAGAAGAAUAUCCAUCAUACUUACCUCCAAAUUUAACUUUGGCAGACAGAUGAUUAAGAGGCGUAGUGUGUUCUCUCUGAAGAACUCCUGGGUCAGUUGCGCACAAGCUUCUGUUACAGGCUCAGCUUCACUAUUUCCAUAAAGAAUUGACUUCAAUUCUCUCAUAAGCUUGCUUAAUUCCAUCAUCUGCAGACGUCAAUUUGAAAAAGGCUACAGUCUCAAUAACUAAAUAAACACAGAUUAUAAGCUGACCUACAUCCACACACAAAACUCCCACUAAAUACAUUCACUUCAACAAAGAAACAGGAUAUUCUUGCCAAAAACCAGAAAUGUAUACAUACAGCACGAAACAGUUAACUAUUAUAGAAUAUUAAAUUCCAAACUCGUCCUACCAUGAUGGUUAGAUUCUCAGCAUCCGAUCCCCGACCACUUUCUCACCCCUCCUCAUCCAAAAAAUUGAAAAACAAAAAACACGGAAGAAAAAUUGAAUCCAGUUGCAACACUUCCAUUCCUAUCUAGAACAUCUAACUCCACUUCAUCUAGCAUUUCCCAAAAAAAAAAACCAUAAUUUAAAUUCACAUAAAAAUGCACACAAUUCCAUUUAAAAGAAAAACAAAUCUAAAUCAUACCCAGAUCAGCUCUUUCCUCUAAUUAAACAACAAGAAAAGAAGCAAGGGAAAACCGAAGAGCUAGAAAACCUAAACAAAAUAGAAGCGUAAAAAAAAAAGGGAGCUUUACCUUUUCUUCGCGCUUGGUCUCGCGCGUGGCAUCGGGGCCGCGAUCGACAUAGAUGAGAAGAUCCCGAGUCUGACGAACGAGGUCAGCCGGGGUCUUGGGUUUGGACUUAAACAAGCCCUUCAUCUUUUUCCCACUACCAGUGCCGCCACCGUUACCGUCGCUGCUAUCCGAUGCCGCCGACGAUGGGAGCCUUCGAGGCGGCGGCGGCGGCUGCUGCUGCUGCUGUUGCCUCUGAGUCACUGAUGCAGCUGACGACGCCGAGGCUCCGUGCGUCGCAGCUGAGGUUCCACCUGACCAGCAAACCCCUAUUUUUAAUCCCUUCUAAUUUCCAAUUCCACCCACUAUUUAUCCACUUUUAACCUCUCCAGAUUUGCAUUAAAAACUGUUGCUUUCUAAACCUAAAUUAAGCUAAAGAUAUUUGUUUCUCAACUCAUUUUUUUCCUUUUUAUUCCCAUCACUCUCCUGGGUUUGGGGGAAAAAAAAAAAAAAAACAAGUUUAACAGUUUACUCGUAUGUUUCGUGUCGGGGCAUCGGUUUAUCAGAUUCCAUCGUCCUCUGCAGUUCUUCUGGGAAAUGUACUGCCAGUAGUAAUAGCCACUUUGAAUUUGCUUAGCUCAAAUCUUUGGAUAUAUCUGCGACCACAUGAAUACGAACCUUUUUGGAUUUUAUUGCAGCAUCGAGAGAAAGCGUGACUUGUGACGCGGAGCAAGCGUUACAACGAUAAUUUUAAAUGAACCCCUCAUAAUAAAAUAGGUUUCCGUUCGUCGUCUUAGACAACAAAAUUUUUUGGAUAAUUACAGAAACCUCCCCUGAGGUUUCUGAUAAUUUCCCUGAGCUCUCUUUAAAUUUUAAAAAUUACACAUACCUCCCUUAAUUUGAUAGUUUUAGUAAUAAAAUCUUAAAAUAAUACUGACUUAGUCAAAUUUUUAAGUAAAUACCCAAAAUACCCUUGUAUAAUGAAUUUUAAUUUACUUUCCUAUAGAAUUAUAAGAUUAUCUAAUAUAAUUGUAAGGAAAAGAUGCCAAAUUUUUCAUGUCCAUAUAUACUAUUUGAUAAACAAAUGUAAUAAUAAUUUUAUCACUACGAUAGGAUACUUUUGAUGGUAUUUUUUUAUGGAUUUACAAGAUAGAAAAUAAAAUGUUGAAAUAAUUGAUUCAGAGUUUAUAAAUUUUUUGAGUAGUGAAAUUAUCAUAAUUUAGUAGUGAUUUUGGGCAUUUCUUUUUUAUUUAUUGUUAAUUUUAAAAUCAAAAAAUAGAAAGCAAAGAUUAGCAAAAAAAUCGGAUUACGUAUAAAGUUAACUUGUCAAAAAAAUCAUUACAUGAGUCGGCUGAUUUGUAUCUACUUACAUGAGUUGAUAAUGCCAAACCCCUUGUAUUAGUUUGAGAACCCUGAGACAGUGUAAUUUUUAUUUGUCUUUUUCAGAUCUAUUCUUUAACAUCUAUAUAUGUUUGAUGAUAUAAUUUCUGUCAUUAGUGUAGAUUUUAACGAAAUUAUGAUGUUUUAUCGAAAUCCACUUUUGAAAUCAACUUCGAUGCCAAUUUUGUUGCUGUGAUUUUUUAAUGAUAUCGAUCAUCGGAAAUCAACUAGCCAGUCAAAAAAAAUUUUUUUUUUUUGAAGCACUAUUGCCCAUUUUGGGACCAAUAAAACAAUCAGUACUUACUUGGUCUUGAUUAAUAAUAAUAAUAAUAAAUAUUUAGCGCAACAACCCUAAUUUAGAGGACCAAAAUAUAAUGAAUCCCUAGUUUAUUAUGAGAAAAAUCUAACAUUUUAACCAUCUAGCGUAUAUUUUUCAAAUUAACCAUUUCACACAAUGAUGAUCGUAAAAUCCCUUUAGUUCAAGGCAGACUCCAAAUGAGGAACCAUAAAUCCAAUCGUGAUCUAGUUAAAUCUCCCUAGUCGGGAUGAAAAUUAGGUACUCCAAUUUGAUUAUCACCAUAAGGAUCUGAUUUUGGAUAAGCUCCAGAUUCUUUCGUAACUUUUUUGAUUAAUCGUUAGCUGUUGUGGAUAAUUAUAUUUUACUGGGCUAUUAGUUUGACGUUCUUCACUUCAGGGAAAAAAAUAUAUAUCUUAUCUGUUAGACUCUAAGACAAUGACAUCUUUGAAAAACCGACUAGUUCCAUGAGAUACAGGCAUGAAAUUUGAAUCAAACCACUCAAGAUUUCAGCUGAUUUUACUUGAUCGCCUUCUUCACGAGUGAUUUGAAAAAGAAAAGGAGUUGCUCAUAUAUGUACCACUCGUUCUGUGUAAAAGUCAGGGCCCAAUGUGGUCCAACAUUUUCACUAAACAUGCAGUUAAUAGUUAUGUAGCAAUCCUUUUUUCUGACGGAAUGUUGUGUAGCAAUCUACUAGUCAGUAACAACUGACAACUCUUUUUUUUUUUUUUUUGGAGGGUGGAAAAGGGGGAAGUGUUGAAAUUGAUGCAUAAAUAUAGAAACAUAUGGUCAAAUCUUACAAGCAGAAGUUAGCAGGAUCUUCACAAGAUGGCCUGUUAUGAAAUAGCUUUGUAUCCCGAUUAGGCCAGAGGUUCAAGCAACCAAAGCAGAAAAUGGUGCCCCAAGGGAUUUUGAUUUUGAUUUUUUGAUUUACACCUUAUAAGGACUGCAAGCCACAGAAUGGAUACUUGUCUUCAGAGAUAAUUUUGCAUAACUGAUUUGAGAUAGUAGACCCUCAAAAAAAAAAAAACUUUUUCUUUUCUGAGAAGAUAGUAGAACCACAAUUUUUGUCGGUGUGCUUAUCCUGUUAUCAAAGUUACAAAAAUAGAUUGAACCUUGCUAAAUAUGUACGGGGAAAGCGUCCAAAAGAUAACCAACACCUAUUUGAUGGUUUCUUAACACCCCUACUUCACAUACAUUUCGCACAUCAGUUGGUUAUCCCAUGGAAACCGCACCCCAAGUGCAUUCUUGAUCCUUCACCCACCCAUAGUAGGCAUGCUGUCAAAAUAAGCCGAGCACAAGUAGCACCAUACUCGAGUUUGAACUCACCCGAAGGAUAUGAGUGUCAUUUAAACUCGAACUCGAGUUCGAACGAGUCAAGGAACUCCAACUCAAACUUGUCUAGAGGAAGUUGUAGAAAUACUUGACAAGACUCGAAAACAAUGCCAAGCAGGUAUUGUCCAUUUCGUGCAUGUGUGUGUGUAAUAUUUAUCUUUUAAUUAUUUAAUGCAAUACUCGAUAAAAGCUCACCGAGUACCUGAUUCUUAAGUUUGAAAAAGACCUGACAGUGUUUUUGAGUAGCUCUAGUUCAAGUUGAGCUACUCGAUUCAACAUCACCCCUACUCCGUAAUGCGGUGGCCCUUCCUCGCCCCACCUAAGUUUGGUCCCUAGGAUUUCAUUAAUUUUUUAGGGCUUUCAGUAAUUGCCCAAGUAACCAAGUUAUGAUGGCAAUGCAAUUGACAAUUUUAAAAUCAACACUUUUUUUUUUUUUCUUCAAAAAGUGGGAAGGUUUGAACCCAAAACAUUCUACUUAUAAUCCCUCCCAUUUUACCACCAACCCCUCCCCCUUCAUGAAUAAACAGGCUAUUUGAAUCUCAUGAAUCCAAACAGCCUUGUUUAAUUUCUUUGAAACAAUAAAAUUAUUUGAAUCAAGAUUAUUUUGGAUCAAGAUUGAAUUGUACGAAAUGGGUGCAACUUAGCUCUAUUGAGCCUGACUAUGAUCUCACAAAUUUGAUAUUACUAAACUAAGGUUACAAGCCCAUGAGAGAUGAUCAGCUCCCAGUUUGAGUUCGGUUUUAAAAUUUCAACUGUUUGUCAUUUCGGGGUCAUCGUCUGUUUCUCAAGGCUAGGUAAAAGUGUGAAAAUCGGCGAUUCGGACGAGAGACUGAUCAUAAUUGGUUGAAUUUAUUUAUAUCUAUCUAACAAAUGCAUUAAACUGUGUAUAUUCUCAAAAGGGUGUGGGUCCACCUAAUUACCCAAAUUGGCCUGCUUAAAAUUCACUUACUUUUUUGUUUUCUUUUUCUUUUUGAUUGUUAUUUAAUUAGAAAUAUCGAUACUUUAUUACUAUUGGUUUGAUAAGAAAUUCAAAUUUAUCCACUCAACACCUACCAAAAAAUUAAUUUUGAAUGUAUAAUUUAAAGGAAAAAUCAUUCAAAAAAUCAUUCACAUUUCGUCAAAUAAAUUUUUUUGUCCUUCACUUUUAAAACGGUAACUUUACGUCCCUUACAAAAUUAAAUUAGUAAAAUUUGAUCCCAACCUCAGUUUUCUCUUAGUUUUUACUCUAAAUCCAUUACAUGACUCAUAUAUGGUCAUUUUUUUAUUGGCAAAAAAAAUUACUAUAAAUCUUAUUUAUAGUCAAACAAAUAAUCCGAUCUAAGUAUAUUUAUUUUUGCUCAUAGGAAAAUAGAAUCUAGCCUGAAUUAUAUUCCUUUUUCUCCCUAAAAAAAAGUAAGAUCCGAUCAAAUAUAUAAUCAUUAUUGUUGCCACUAAAAUUGUGGGAUUUGACAUUUUUUAUACAUAAAACAUGACUUCAUGUGGGCCACGCUGUGAUUUCAACUAAAAAGCAGUCGAAAACUUAAAUUGGAACUAAAUUUUGGUAGCUUGAAUUUAGAGACGUGAAGUUAACAUUUUACAGGUGAAGGCUGAAAAAUUCAUUUUGCGAAAUGUAAGGGAUAUUUUGAGUGAUUUUUUAAAUUUUAAAUGGACAUAAAUGGGUAACGCAACUCAACCUACUACCCACUAAUUAAAUUGGUCUAAUCGAGUCACUCAUUUAAACCCUUCAAAAUGUAUCACACGCCUAAACAUAUUCAUUAGCGAGUGGAGUUGGAUGGAUCAACCUCCAAGCGUAGGCAAGAUAGGCUGGUUUAUCUUUAGACAAUAUUUUACGAUAACUGAAAAACUAAAUUAAAUUAGGUAAGGAUUGCAUACAUGAUCCGAGCAGGCCGGCCCACAGUUAACAAUGGAUGGUAGCGAAACAAGAAAACAUGGGGAACUCGAUGAUAAUGACAAUGGUCAUGCACAUAGAAUGAGAUGAUUUCCCAACUGGUAUUCUAAUUUUUCAUGCUUAAUAUCAAUAGAUCAUAAGAUUUGUGAUUCAGCGGUAAUUGGAGACCCCUUUUUAUACGGUUUUCUGAUGCUUGGGUUGGCUGCUUUGGGGAAGACUUCUCAUUCAUAUUAUUUUAUUUUAUUUUUUUUUUAAAAAAAAAAAAGAGAGAGAGACUUCUGAUUCAUAAGCAUGGCGUUAAUUGUGGGCUUGACCCUGGUAAGGUUGCAUUCCCAGAUGUAGACUGCACUCUCUCAGUCGUUCUUAGCAUCCCCACUCCACCACUCAAGCGACAGAGACCGCUAUUAGGCAGAUCAUUUUGGCUUUCUUCAGGCAAGGUUCUAGGAUUAACUAAGAAAAUAAAGAGGUUCUAGGAUUAACUGAAAAAAAAAAAAAAAAGAUUUAGAGCAGGAUACACACAGGAUUAAAUUAAACAAGCCGAUAAACAAAUGAGGGAUGGAUCAAAUAAAACGAUGUAUUAUUAUUAUUAUCAGAAGCAAACAAGUGCUUCAACUCUUGCAAAUGUAUGAAAGCUCUUGUAGUACAGUACACUUCAAACAUCUCUCAUAGUCAAACCACAGUUUUAAGCAAGAAAUACACAUGAUUAUACAUACACCUCUCAUGCCACAGUUUUAAGCAAGAAAUGCACAUGCUUAUUACAUCCUCUUAAAUCUGAUCAGGGAAGUUUCCUGAAGGAAGUAAGCUUCUUGAAUUUGAGCCAGGGCUUGACCCAAACAAUGGCCUCGUACAGAUUUGAAGCAGUGCCAUCCAAUGCCUUUAUCACAAUCUUGUAAUUUGUGCCGGCCACCACUUGCUCCUGCGCCUCCACCACAGUUUUAAACUCCAACUUGGUACCGGCCUCCUUGUUGUGCUCAUCUAUGGCAAAUUUUCCGUUCUCUACCACCUCUGGGUCCUUGGGGUCAGCCUUACUCCAACCGCCGACUAAGGCAUCUUUGGGGCGACCACCCAAAGCCGCGGAAGGGACGUCGGAGAAAAGACAGAUAGCUGCCAGGGUGGUGAGUAGGAGGAGAUGGGGAAAGGCAGAAGCCAUUCUUGCAGCGUCGGUUAUUGGUGUUGGGGCUGAUGGAUGGAUGGAUGGAUUUUGAACGGGCGGUUUCAAUCUAGUGGGGGCGUUAUUUAUAUCCCUGAUCAAUUAUAGAAAACAUCCUCCGUGUUUGUUACGAAACAAUUUAUUGACUUCAUUCAUUCAUUGUGGUAAAAUGUUUAAUGAAAAGACAGAUUUUACUUUCCUUAAUUAGUGGCUGUCCUUAAUUAUAAGAUCAGUACGAUGAUGUUAUUUUAGCGUCGAUGGCUGGCUCAAUGCCAUACAGCCUGAGCAUGACCUGUCCUGCUGUCCUUGGCUCCAGUUUAGAUAUCGACCACAGUUCCAUUUUGAACCGGAAUCAGACCCUGCGGGAAUUGGAGUCAAAAACCAUUCCCGAAGGCUACGUUUGUUUUGAUGUUUUAUGCGUUGGUACUGGUGAAUGGGUUUCAAUUUGACUGUGCUGAGACGUAGUAAUUUAUCAUCAUGGAAUCUGUAUUAAAUUGUGAAUAAAUGUUGUUCUCCUGAUUUUUUUGUUACAAAUAAUUAUUUCCUUCCUUUCUUUUGAUAGCAGUUAUUUCUUUCCUUUUAAAAGUUGAAUAAAUGUAGAGGUUGUGUUUUCCUUAUUAGUGGCAAAACAUGUGGACCUUCGUUUAAUCUCUAUUGGCAAAAUAUGGAGUCCGCCUGAACAUGACCUGUCCUUGGCUCCAUCACAUCUCCAGUAGAAAACGUGUAUAAUCAUCACGUAAUUUGGCUCUAGCAUCCUUGGAGAAAACCAAGAGCAGAAAUUUUUAUAAUUUACUAAAAUAAACGAAAAAGAAGACGACGCCACGAUUUAAAAUCAUACGAAGCUUCCAUUGAAAACUAGCUGAAAAUGCUGCAGCAGCGUUCUCCAUUCAUUAGUAGUGCAUGACUAUUUCCUUAGCCCUACGAAGUUAUCAGAAUCUUACAAAUAAAUACAGAAAAAAAAAAAAAAUUCUAAGCUUGCGUCUAAUAAUAGAUGCAAAUGAAAGUAAAGCUUGCUUAAUGAAUAAACAACCACCAUAAUGGCUGGCUGAGUGCUCAAAUUCGAUGCCUGUGC
rnacentral:lncRNA from 1 species